rnacentral:lncRNA from 1 species
AUGUCAAUGGUGACCACCCACAUCUUCAUCAUCACGUACUCAUAGUCGCAGCAAAGGAAGUGCACCACAUGUGGCCUGUAGAUGUCCACCUGAGGGAACAUGAGAAUGUGGCGAGGGAGGUCCUUUGGGGCGUUUGCAGACCACAGCUCCUUGGAGGUGACCGUGUAGUCCUUCUUCCACUCCAUGGAUUCUAAGGAGAGGGUGUGGCAGGUGAUGGUGAAGCCACCAACACUGGUUUUGAGUGCCCCAUAGCCAACGCCAUCAUGGCGGGCGAUGUCAACAAACUUGAGCUUUCUGCCACCGACGUCGGACGCGCCACGAUACAGCCAGCUGGAUGGUUUGCCCCGGAUAGGAAACUCGUCAAGAGGGAAGCGGAGGAAGGAAACAGUAGGGGUGGGAUCUCCGAACACAUCGCAGAAGAGGAUGCCACGGUAGUAGUCGAUCCAGCACAGCCAGCGGCCAACAGGAAUGACAGUGUCGGUCUGCCAGAUGCAGAGUUGCCAGGUAUCAUCAGGGUCGGGGUUCUCGAAGCCAAGGAUUCCAUUACCAUCGGGCUUCUUGCAGAAGCUGCGGAUUGGUACGCGGCAGGAGUUCCAUUUGCCCUCGAUGGCACCAGUGGGUACAGCUAGUUUGUGCAGCCAAAAGAUGUCAGCAAAGACCUCAGGGGCACAGACCUUAGGGUCAGGGCAGCGGCCAGGCCUGAAAAGUCGUAGUUCUGCUACCACGAACUCCUGUUGGUCUCGGCACAAGAUGCCCAUGGAUCUGACCGCCAUCAGACGCGGUCGCUGCUCCUUGUUAGGAGGAGGGCGACGGCGACGGCGACGGCGACCACCACGACCACCACCAUGGAGGGGAUAAUCCAUGCAAGCGGGCAGUGCUUUGAGUUUGGAAGGGUCGUCGGCAUCUGAGGCGCUGUAGAUGAAGAGCUCCUGCCGCAAAUCAAAUGUAUCGUCCUCGAUACAGACGCGAAACAGGACGAGAUGUUGGUGGCUCGCCAGGAUGGCUAAGGGCACCUGUUUUAAGGGAUCCGGAAAGCCCGGCAGCCGCGCGUAGAGGCGGGAGAUCGCCGGGGGCUCGGCGAGCUCGAAGGCGAUGUCGAAGGGGGCCUCCCACCGGGUGAUGCCGGAAGCCCUGAUGGGCAACUUGUCCUCGUCCGGGAAGGCCUCGUCCAUGCGGAAGACGAAGCGCUCCAGCAUCACCCACUUGGGGGGGGAGGCGGCGGCAGAGGCGGCGGCGGCAGACAUGGCCGCGGACAUGGCGACCUUGAGACAGAUGAGGAAAUUAGGGGGGACCAGGGGGGAUCACCGUGAAGACAAAUCGGGAGAAUUGUAAGAAGAGGUGCCUUACCCACGGAGAAGUAGGCAGCUGCCGGCCGUCGAGAAGAGAGGAGGGGAGGCGGCAAGAGGCGUGCGGUAGAGGCUCCGGCGAUGCGGCGGCUUCCCGAUUCGAGGAACCAAAACAGAUCUAGGGUUUCGAAUUGGUGGCUGGAUUUUUUUUGAAUAAUAGGGUGGGGGGGUUUUUUGUUGAAACAAAAAUAAUAGGGUGGUUGGGAACUUGUAUAGGAUACGAAAGCUGUAUUGGUGGGCCUGCACUCUGGUCGGACUCUAUUGGACCAAACAUCUAUUCGUGUACGUACUAAUUCGAAGUGUUAAUUAAUAAAUAUAAAUUAAUGAUAAAACUAAUGGUACAAAAUAAGACUAAUUUGUAAGAUAAAUCUAUUCGAAUAUAAUUAGUUUAUAAUUUGAUAAUAUAGUACUAGUCAGUAAACUCUUGUUUGAUACGGAGUACGUACUAAUUUGAAGUGUUAAUAAUAAAUAUAAAUUAAUUAUCUUUUUCCUAAUAUAUAAUUGUGAAAAUUUCAGUCCAUUAUAUCUUUAUAUGUCCACCAGUAAGAUUAAUUAAACGAUGCUCCUCUCGUUCGGACCUAAUUUUCUAUUAUUUUUAGCUUAUUUUUCUGUUCAUGGCACGAAGACUCCUAGUCCAAUUGGGUUAGAAAAAAAAAAGAAAGUUAUGGGCUGAAUCUAACUCAGAAGCCUCACACGAGUUUAAACCAAUUUUAGACCGAAACAAGCGAAUAGUUGGGCUCGACUAAAAUCCAAAAUGACUAGAAAUUUUUCCUUUUUUAUUAUUAGAGAAGAAGAAGGAACUAUAGGACUUUGCUUUUUUUUCCUCCGAUUGACAUCUAAAUAAGGGGGUGUUUAGUUUCUCAUAGAAUCCAAAAUGUAAAAUACCAACUACUUUGGAAUGAUGAAAUACAAAAGGCCAAAAUUUUUAGGGUCAUGGUUAGUUCCAUCCAAAAUGCAGAAUUUAUUGUCCUCAUGAGAGCCUCUUGAGACUCUUUUUGGGUUUUUUUUGGUUUCUUAAGGUCAAAAUACAAAAUGGAGAAUAACCACAUUUUUUGCCAAAAUUUUUGCAUAGUGUUUAGUCCAUUUUGCAAAAUGGUUGACCAAAACCUAAAUUUUUUGAAAAAAGGGAAACUAAACACCCCCUAAAUAAAGAAAGUGGAGCAAAAUAAAGAACAUAAUUCUUAUCCUUUUCUAUUUGACUAUUAAGAGUUCUAUUUAGAAUACUUAGGAUGUGAGGAAUCUAUUUAUAUUAAGACUUCUACUCCACAUAUUGGUUUAGACGCAAGUUAUUCUAACUCGUAUGAGCAUGGGUUAUAUAUAUAAGUCCACAUAAAAGAAACAUUUCAUUGUUCGGUAGUUAGAGGAAGAUAGACAAAAAAAUAGAUGGGCAAAAAAAGAGCCUAAAAUUUUACCUCUUUAUUAUUAGAUAUAGAUAUAUAUAAUUAGGUAAUAGAGAUAUAGAUAUGGAUUUGAUAGCUUUUUUUCUCCCGUUGCAACGCACGGGCAUUUUUGCUAGGAAAACUAAUGGUACAAAAUAAGACUAAUUUGCAAGAUAAAUCUACGGCAGCGGAUGGCGGGAACUCGAGGUGGGCGAACACAGUGCCUCCGCCGCCGAGGACACUCACGGGGGUGGUGGCGUUGUUGGUGUAGACUACCCCUGCUCGUUGAGGAGCGCUUGUCAGCAUAGAAGUUAAGUUCAGUUGCUCGUUGAGAGUUCAGUUGCUCGUUGAGGAGUGCUAUAAAGGUACACAGGAUUUGAACAUGAACACUGACUCAGUAAGUGUAUGGCCCUCGCCCUAUUUUAACCUACUGUGAAAUGUCAAUGACCUGUAAUUUAAUUUUGCAGUCAUGGAUGAAUGAGUACAGGCGAUCAGUUCUACAUUAUCUUACCUUCCACCAAUCACAAGUCCUGAGACAGCUGCAAAAGAUAGGUUCAAUCCCUAUGCACUUCUCGUCAUCAGAAGCAGACGUUGUUGUAAUAGCUUGCACGCAGAAGGAAGACACUGAAUCACCAAAGAUGUAUAACAGAAGCUCUUGAAUCACAACAGCUGUAACAGAGCAUGCAACCCAUAUAUAUAUGGGUGCUCCAUACAUAAAGAAGCCGCUGUUAUUAAGUCGUGCGUGCGUUGAGGUCGAUGAUCACGAGUGAUAAAACGACAUUCAGAUUGUCCGUUUUUUGCUGGCGAGGAGCUGGUCCGUGUCUCCGGUUAAAGACAUCGUCCGUCUCCGUUAACCGGAGACUGUGCUUCUAGAGUUAGAUAUUUUGUAAAGAAGUGUGCUGAAUAUGGACACAUGGUAAAAUCAUGAGCCAUUGAGUCCUACAUAUAUACCUAGGACCCUCCUCAUGUGCUAACCAAACCCUCCAUUACCUUGCCUCCACAUUCUGUUAAUCCAAAAAACUACCAUAACUAACAUGUGGUCUCGUACAACCAUUUACUCCUCCGACGAGGAUGGUGACUCUGUCAACAACUACUCCUCCGAUGAGUAUGAUGACUCUGCCCUCUCAUCAGAGCCCUUUAGUAGCGUACCAAAUUCUCCUAAUGACUCUUAUGGAGAGGAGACCGAGUACGACAAGGAGGAGGACGACGAGAGCUCGGACGAGGACGAUGUUGAGGAGAGCUCGGACGAGGACGAUGAAGCGACAGAAGAGGCCAAGAAGAGGAAGCGAGCGAAGGAGCAUAGAGACAAGAAAGGGGCUGCGGAGAAGAGAAGGGUGGGGGAGGAGGAGGAGGAGGAGGAGGAGGAGGAGGUGGACUCGAAGAUGGCCAGGAAGUUUCAGAGUGCAGACUUCGACAUCGACGAUGGUCCCUCCAAUGUCGGUCCUAGGGCUCCUGCUAGUCUCGGUCCCAUGUCAGAUUCAUCGGAGAACUCCUCGAAGGGGUCGUCGUAGAUUAGAUUAUUCUGAUAGUCCGAUUCAGUGUUUUAUUUUACUCCUCACUGUCAGGGGCUCCUAUACAACUGAAAAUUAUAUAAAUUGCAUGCACAAAUCAACAAAUCCAUCUCCAAUAAAUUUCAGUCAAUUUUGCUAAAAAUUUUUUGUGUGUAUGCGAGUUUUUAGUUUUAGAGCCCGACUCUUGACGUGGGGGCGACCUAUAGGUCUAGUCACGCUAUUGUGCACAAAGUUGUUGCUUAAUUAUCAUAUUGAGUCAUCUCCAACAAAUUUUAGUCUAUUUUGCUAAUUGAGUCAUAUCAUGAAGUAGACAUGACUUAUAUCAUGAAGUAGACAUGACUUAUUGAGUCAUAUCAUGAAGUAGACAUGACUUAUACAAUUAAUUUUAUAAUUAAUUUAUAUAAAUUAUACAACUGAAAAUUAUAUAAAUUGCAUGCACAAAUCAACAAAUCCAUCUCCAAUAAAUUUCAGUCAAUUUUGCUAAAAUUUUUUUGUGUGUAUGCGAGUUUUUAGUUUUAGAGCCCGACCCUUAACCGGCAUCAGUUCCCUUAACCGGCAUCAGUUCCCUUAACCGGUGUUAAUUCUCUUAACCGGCGUUAUGUCGCUUAACCGGCGUCAAUUCCCUUAACCGGCGUCAGUAACCUUAACCGGCCUCAAUUCCCUGAACCGGCGUCAAUUCCCUUAACCGGCGUCAGUAACCUUAACCGGCAUCAGUAACCUUAACCGGCAUCAAUUCCCCUUAACCGGCCUCACUUCCCUUAACCGGCGUCAGUUCCCUUAACCGGCCUCAAUUCCCUUAACCGGCCUCAAUUCCCUUAACCGGCCUCAAUUCCCUUAAUCGGCGUGAAUUCCCUUAACCGGCGUCAGUAACCUUAACCGGCAUCAGUAACUUUAACCGGCAUCAAUUCCCCAUAACCGGCCUCAAUUCCCUUAACCGGCGUCAGUUCCCUUAACCGGCGUGAAUUCCCUUAACCGGCGCCAAUUCCCUUAACCGGCGUCAGUAACCUUAACCGGCAUCAGUAACCUUAACCGGCAUCAAUUCCCCUUAACCGGCGUCAGUUCCCUUAACCGGCGUCAAUUCCCUUAACCGGCCUCAAUUCCCUUAAUCGGCCUCAAUUCCCUUAACCGGCAUCAGUAACCUUAACCGGCAUCAGUUCCCUUAACCGGCGUCAAUUCCCUUAACCGGCCUCAAUUCCCUUAACCGGCAUCAGUAACCUUAACCGGCAUCAACUUGAGGACUAGGCUCCCGUGGCGCGCAGGCGAGGGGGCGCGCCGGUGGCAGAUUUUGGCCACUGGAGUGGGGGGAGGGGCGGUGGCGCCGGUGAGGUGUAGUGUGGGGAGCGAGUGCGGGCGAGGCAGGGAGGCGGAGGGGGAGAGAGGCGCCACGUCAGACAUGCCUAUGUGGCGUCACGUAGGCCAAAACAGCCAUUAAAACCACCGAGGUUGAAAAAAGGACGGUUUUAAUAGUUCAGGUGCCCUGAACAACUGGUUUCGUGGUUGAGGGUUUUAAAUCAGUAAACAAUUAUCGUUGUUAUUUUCUUAUAGUUCAAAUGUAAGCCCGAAAUAUUAUUAAAGGAUGCUCAUGGUUAUAUAUAAUUAUUGCCAUAUAACUUCAUGUGUACUCUGUAUUUCAUUUCACUUCAUUAUUCUAAAGAGAUGGCUUAUGUCGAGAAAAGAUGUCUUGAAAUUCAUGUGUACUUUGUUUGGUUCCAUCAUGAUUCUGGGAUUAGCAAGUUCAUGGGGAAGUUGGGGAUUAGUUUUUCUUAUUUGCUAAGCUGAGUUUGCACACGUGUCUUCGUAGAUGACACACUUCAUUUAUACUGUUUAGUAUACUGUUUCGGUCUCGCGCGUACGUGCGGGUGGCUCUUGCGCCACGACUUGCGCUCCUCGGCGAGGCGGCAGCAGGCGACGCCUCCGGACGCCAUCCGACGCGCUAGCUGCUCGCUCUCGCUUGUGGAUGUGGUGGACUCGAGCUUGCGCGCUGUUCGUACCGGCCACGCCGUCGUCUUCGUUCUCUCCGGCGGGGUUACAUGUGAGACCGCGAGGACGGCGGGCCGGGGGUUGAAUAGGGGGUUAGUGCGGAGCGUGGAGGUCAAGCCGAACAGAUAAACACCGAAGGUGCCACUGGCCAGGUAGAGACGUGGUCCCCGCCGUCCGGUAGAUUGGCCGCCGGGACGCCGGUGGGAUCCAGAUAUCAGCGGGAGAAGCGUGAGGGGAAGGUCUGGGACGGGAACGCGGGACUGGGCGUGGGCGCGGCGAGGCUUCGGACGCAAGGCAAGGGGUUCCGUGUUCAAGAGGACCGGUCAUGCUAAAGCAGGCAGGAUGGGACCCGCGAUGGACUGUUGUCGUUGCCGGACAACGGAGACCAGCAGUCGCUGGGCCUUGACUCUUGUGCACGCCACCGCUGCUCCGCGACUGUAGCUGUGACUCGGCCACCAGCACAUGGUGGAGGUGAGCGCGAGAGGUUUAGGGUUUAGGGUUGAUCAAGGUGAACGGGGUGGCGAUGGCUUGGCGAGGAUCCGCGUUCGCGGCGGAACCCAGGAUCCGCGUCUGCGGCGGAACCCCGUUCACCUUGGUCGUAGCGGCCGAAGAUGUCCUGGUGGCCUCGACUUCCCUCCGUCGUGGACGCGGAUCCUCAUGCUUUGGCCGCAAGAAGACGGCGGUGGCCGCAAGGUUAGUCUAGCACCUCUUCAUCGCUUGAUUCUCCCUGAACCAGUGAAUCCCAACUCAAAUCAGUCUGUGAGUUUUCGUUCUUGGUAGAUGAUGCAUUCUCCUCUUUCUUCUUGUAGGUUCGAUUGAAAUUAGGUGCAUCAUAACUAGUAUCACUUACGAACUGCACCAAUGGGGUGGUUAUGGUGGCCUGUGGAAAUCUUCUUUUUAUAUAGUAAAUUUAGGAGUAACUUUUUGGAACAAAACAAGGCCAAGAACCCACAACAGCAGCUGUCACAAUGGAGUCACAAGGACCCGGCAGCUGUUUGCCUUGCCUGCCUCACCCGCUACCGUCGGAUGAUACGUGAACGGCGGAAAACCUUGAUGGGCGAUGGGUUUCAAACCAGAUGGCCGAGGAAUCCAGUUAUCACGCCACAACCGUACAGACUUGCCAUCUCCAAUACGCCACACAACACCUUUUUUAAUCAACUCCAGCCCAUACUCAACGGCCCUCCAUGUCGCCGAAGCAUCAUUAGCUGUUACCGUGUCUAGCAGAUUACCAGAUGGGUAGUAUUUAGCUUUCAAGACUUGCGCACAAAAGCUAUCAGGGCAAAUCAGCAAGCGCCAAGCUUGGCGUGAAAGCAGUGCUUGGUUGAAUAGCUACAAAUCUUUAAAUCCCAUACGCCGUUGACCAGGUCAGUACCGGCUUGCCUCCAUCCCCUCUCUCUGCAAAACUCGUUCCUCCUCGAUGGUGAGCCAAGUUGCACGGGCGGUGGCGUCGCGCUCCAUGACGGCGUUGGCGAGGUCUCCGGUCAUGAGCUGAUUAAGCAAUUUUACUCAUGACGGCGUUGCACGCCUCCUUGGCGAGGCGCUCCUGCUCCUAGCGCUCCUCCUCGGCCUUUUGAUCGGCAGGGUUGGGAGGAGCGGAGGCCUUCUUGGCGGGGUCGAUGAGAUCGGAACCGCCGCCGAGGCCGGGAGCGGAGGGGGCUCCAGUCAUGGCGCGACAGGGAUGGAGGGCGGCGACGCCAGGGGGUAGGGGUCAGCGGCGUCGGUGGCAUCUCGCUAGGGUUGCGAAGUCCUCGUGGAGGCUACCGGCUUAUAGACAUCCACUUAGUUAUGAGUCAUCCACUUAGUUAUGAGACAUCCAUAAAUUUGGGCGAGACAUCUACUCCUCCUUGGCGAGGCGCUCCUGCUCCUAGCGCUCCUCCUCGGCCUUUUGAUCGGCAGGGUUGGGAGGAGCAGCAAUUUUACUCAUGACGGCGUUGCACGCCUCCUUGGCGAGGCGCUCAUGCUCCUAGCGCUCCUCCUCGGCCUUUUGAUCGGCAGGGUUGGGAGGACCAGAGGCCUUCUUGGCGGGGUCGAUGAGAUCGGAACCGCCGCCGAGGCCGGGAGCGGAGGGGGCUCCAGUCAUUUACAGGCGACGAGAUAUUGCAUGUGGAGUGUGCAGUACGUACCGGCUCUGUACCGGCUCUGUUCCUCUAACUAAUCCUGUGGCAUCCUUUUGCUCUGUUAUUAAACUCGUUCAGUAUUGUCAAUUUUCGUCAGUAAUAAACUGCAAGAGGUACUGCAGUCGAUGUGAGUGGUUUGUUCAAUUGAUUAACCACCGAAUGCUUCUGUAAAAAGUGGCCAACACUUCUGAAAGAUAAGAUUAUAGAGUAGUAACAUUUUGUGAUAAAACUAAGACAAGAAAGUACACUAUGCACAAGUUCCUGAAUUCUUACAGAGCCAACUUCUUUGUUUGUUUGUUCUAUUUGUUGUGGUAAAAAAAUUGUGCUUGUUCACUUUCUUGCAGGGGCGGGCCCACGUGUAUUCAUGGGUAUUCAACUGAAUACCCAUUAUUUUUGACAAAAAAAUUUGUAUGUAUAGUGUAUACCAAGCAUAUAUACCAAAACAAACAAAAAAAAAUAGCAUGUGUUCUCAUCAAUUCUAGCCCGUUAAGGCAAAAAGCUCAUCUCCCUCCUCUUCCCGAAGGCCCAAACGGCCCAAACGGUCCAAACCUAAACUCCACCCACCACCAGCCCAUCUGACCAUCUCUGAUUCAGUCGAAUCGUUCCCCAUCGACGCUCAUUCGCUCCCGUCGCGGCUCGCCCUCGCCCUCUCGUCACGCCGUCACCGCGUCGGGCGUCGGCGGGUGCUGACCCUAGGCGGCGGCCGCCGGCCAGCAGCGAACAGCCCAGGCGCGGAGGCGCCCACCAGCGGAGCAGAGAGGGCAGUUCGCGGGAGAAAAGCAGCGGGAAAGGCUGUCCCACGUUCCCUGAUUCCUAGAAUCCAGCUCAGGCUUUCGCCCUCUGCUAAUCCGUCUCCCGAGCCGUGAGAGUGCAAAGAUCGGUAUGGGCUUCUUCAAUUCCCAUUUCCUUUUUUGGUAGAAAACGCAACUCUACUUGUUUUUCGCCGAGAUGCCUUUGGUUGGUUCAUUCGUUGGGUCAUCUGUUUGUUUCUUACCCCAUUGUGAAAUCAGGAUGGAUGAUUUCGUUUCCUUGGUGUAUAGGUCGUACUAGCCAGCAGCCCAGCAAGGCGGCGGCGCGGGCACGCGGCGCGGCACUGCGGCAGGCCAGCAAGGUCCGGGAAGGCGGCGUGCAUCUCUAGGACUCCGAGCUGGGCUCCAGGAAGGUGAGCCGUGAGCCGAUUUGGAUCUGAAAAAUAGAAUAAGAGUCGUUGGACCUGCUGUUAGACCACUAGUGCUAGUGGUGAUUUACGAAUUUUGAUUUCCAUCCGUAAUCCGUUUCUGAUUGCAACUUGUGUGUUGCGUGAUUACGAAUUUUAUGUGAGAAAGGAAGACAGUAGUGCUACUACUACUGAUUUGAGGCAAUUUUUUUGCAAAGGAAGGCAUUUUAGGUUCAAAUCUAUAGGAUGCAAAUUUUCUUAUAAAUUGGUUGUUUUAUCAUCUAUUUAUUUCAGACAUUGAAGCUUUGAUAUGUUGUGUUGAAUAUCUUCAAAUUUGAAGUAAUUUUAUUAAUCGAUGAUGUUUGUACUCGAUUUUUUGUUGUGCAUUAAUAAUUUAGCCCGUCUAUAAAAAAAAUGUUCUGUUAUUUAAAAAUUUGAAUACCCAUGUUCAAAAUCCUAGGCCCGCCCCUGCUUUCUUGUGGUAUGAUUGUCCAAUAUUUCAGUUGUUUGUUCACUUUGUACACUUAACUAGUAUGUUCAAGAUGAUGUGGUAAAUUUUGUUGUGCUUGUUCACUUGGUUGCUUCUUCAAAAUUACGUGUAUGAAAUAUGGUGCUGAAAUAUAAUCAAAUUUGUAUAGUUUGUUUGGUAGUUUUUGUCCUGUUCUUGCGUUAGUAUUACUGAUAUAGGGUUCUGAUAUUGUCCAAUACAGUUUCAAGUGUUAAUGCAUCUGGUGCUGAAAUAGUCCAAUAGUAUUACUGAUAUAUGGUGCUGAAAUUGCUGUAGCAUUACUGAUAUAUGGCGCUGCAGGUCUCGUUCGAGGAGAGCAAGGGCACGGUCAUCUGUUGCUGUCCAAGGAAAGCUGGAAGGUACGCAUUUCCUCCCUGUCUCCUCUUUCUUCCUCCCUUUUCCCCUCGUUCCUUGUGUACUGUGCAUCUGGCUGUGCUUUGGAUUUUGCUAUGAACACUUCAUUAUAUGUUUAAAUAUCUGACGCUCCGUUAGUCGUUCAGAUCUAGUUUAUAUUGUCUCUACUAUGUCUUUGUAUGUGUUAAGUUCAUUCACUGUAACAUCCCGGGUGCGCUGUAGUAUGAUCGUCUACUUCUGUAUCUGGCCUCAUUUCAGGGCCCAUAUGGUGUAGCUCUAGUGUUAUCGCAUAAAUUCUUUAGGUUGCUAUAUCUCAUAGUAAUUGUGUAUACUUAUCUGCAAUUAGAUUGUCCACAUUCACAUUAUGAAGCACUCAGUUGGCUAGUGAUGUAUGCCAGGCAUUAUCCAUGCACUUGUUUAAUUUAUAAACGUGUGCACUUGGUGAUUCAUUUCAUUCUGAACCAUGAACUCGUUAUUUUUGUGAUGAAUCUGCAUCUCACGGAAAAUCUAAAUGUUAAGGUCAUCAAGUUCAUGGUCCUAGCUAGUGUAUUCAGAUUAGGAGUCAUGGUCAUAUUCUGUGGUCAUAUUCAGAUGCUUCUGUAAAUGUUAGUUUCUAUCUAUCCUAAUUUCUAUCUCUGAAUAUGGAUUUGUUCUAAUUUGUAUCUUGUUUUUUUUAUCUUGUUCUAUCUAUAGUUAGGUUGUUUCUUUUUUGAAGUCACGUUGGUGUGUACUAGUGACAGUAUCUUAGACACAAAAAAAUUCACUCGCAGUGCAUAAUUUGACAAGUCUAGGAUACGCUUUGAAGCAGAUCGUUCGAUUUGCUCUUGAUUGUUACUUUUUUAUACAUUUAAAAAUUAAUUGGCUGCUGGUUUCAGCAUAUUCUACUGAUGAUAGUUGACUUGCAAGUUGACACAACUUAUCGUUUUCUCUAGUUUUUCGCCGAGAUGCCUUUGGUUGGUUCAUUCGUUGGGUCAUCUGUUUGUUUCUUACCCCAUUGUGAAAUCAGGAUGGAUGAUUUCGUUUCCUUGGUGUAUAGGUCGUACUAGCCAGCAGCCCAGCAAGGCGGCGGCGCGGGCACGCGGCGCGGCACUGCGGCAGGCCAGCAAGGUCCGGGAAGGCGGCGUGCAUCUCUAGGACUCCGAGCUGGGCUCCAGGAAGGUGAGCCGUGAGCCGAUUUGGAUCUGAAAAAUAGAAUAAGAGUCGUUGGACCUGCUGUUAGACCACUAGUGCUAGUGGUGAUUUACGAAUUUUGAUUUCCAUCCGUAAUCCAUUUCUGAUUGCAACUUGUGUGUUGCGUGAUUACGAAUUUUAGGUGAGGAAGGAAGACAGUAGUGCUACUACUACUGAUUUGAGGCAAUUUUUUUGCAAAGGAAGGCUUAUAGGUUCAAAUCUAUAGGAUGCAAAUUUUCUUAUAAAUUGGUUGUUUUAUCAUCUAUUUAUUUCAGACAUUGAAGCUUUGAUAUGUUGUGUUGAAUAUCUUCAAAUUUGAAGUAAUUUUAUUAAUCGAUGAUGUUUGUACUCGAUUUUUUGUUGUGCAUUAAUAAUUUAGCCCGUCUAUAAAAAAAAUGUUCUGUUAUUUAAAAAUUUGAAUACCCAUGUUCAAAAUCCUAGGCCCGCCCCUGCUUUCUUGUGGUAUGAUUGUCCAAUAUUUCAGUUGUUUGUUCACUUUGUACACUUAACUAGUAUGUUCAAGAUGAUGUGGUAAAUUUUGUUGUGCUUGUUCACUUGGUUGCUUCUUCAAAAUUACGUGUAUGAAAUAUGGUGCUGAAAUAUAAUCAAAUUUGUAUAGUUUGUUUGGUAGUUUUUGUCCUGUUCUUGCGUUAGUAUUACUGAUAUAGGGUUCUGAUAUUGUCCAAUAUAGUUUCAAGUGUUAAUGCAUCUGGUGCUGAAAUAGUCCAAUAGUAUUACUGAUAUAUGGUGCUGAAAUUGCUGUAGCAUUACUGAUAUAUGGCGCUGCAGGUCUCGUCCGAGGAGAGCAAGGGCACGGUCAUCUGUUGCUGUCCAAGGAAAGCUGGAAGGUACGCAUUUCCUCCCUGUCUCCUCUUUCUUCCUCCCUUUUCCCCUCGUUCCUUGUGUACUGUGCAUCUGGCUGUGCUUUGGAUUUUGCUAUGAACACUUCAUUAUAUGUUUAAAUAUCUGACGCUCCGUUAGUCGUUCAGAUCUAGUUUAUAUUGUCUCUACUAUGUCUUUGUAUGUGUUAAGUUCAUUCACUGUAACAUCCCGGGUGCGCUGUAGUAUGAUCGUCUACUUCUGUAUCUGGCCUCAUUUCAGGGCCCAUAUGGUGUUGCUCUAGUGUUAUCGCAUAAAUUCUUUAGGUUGCUAUAUCUCAUAGUAAUUGUGUAUACUUAUCUGCAAUUAGAUUGUCCACAUUCACAUUAUGAAGCACUCAGUUGGCUAGUGAUGUAUGCCAGGCAUUAUCCAUGCACUUGUUUAAUUUAUAAACGUGUGCACUUGGUGAUUCAUUUCAUUCUGAACCAUGAACUCGUUAUUUUUGUGAUGAAUCUGCAUCUCACGGAAAAUCUAAAUGUUAAGGUCGUCAAGUUCAUGGUCCUAGCUAGUGUAUUCAGAUUAGGAGUCAUGGUCAUAUUAUGUGGUCAUAUUCAGAUGCUUCUGUAAAUGUUAGUUUCUAUCUAUCCUAAUUUCUAUCUCUGAAUAUGGAUUUGUUCUAAUUUGUAUCUUGUUUUUUUAUCUUGUUCUAUCUAUAGUUAGGUUGUUUCUUUUUUGAAGUCACGUUGGUGUGUACUAGUGACAGUAUCUUAGACACACAAAAAUUCACUCGCAGUGCAUAAUUUGACAAGUCUAGGAUACGCUUUGAAGCAGAUCGUUCGAUUUGCUCUUGAUUGUUAUUUUUUUAUACAUUUAAAAAUAAAUUGGCUGCUGGUUUCAGCAUAUUCUACUGAUGAUAGUUGACUUGCAAGUUGACACAACUUAUCGUUUUCUCUAUUGUAGGACAGCAGGUCCCCAGAUGAAGAGUCAGAAGUUGGGCGCACAAGGAGAAAGAGAUGAGCGCUUGUGUAUUGACUUUGGCUUUAAGGCCCAAGAGGUUAUGGAAGCAGCGGCUUGUCUUGAUGAAGCAGAGCGAGAUGAAGUUAAGCAACUUGGGUAUGGAGCUUUCCUAAACCUAAAGUUGGGACCAAUCAGCCAGCGCAAGGAAACCUAUCUGUGUAUGGAGCUAGUUGAUCUGGAAGAGGAUGCGAUCAAGGUGCAGCUACAAAAUGAUGUAAUUGUAUACAUCAGACCAGAUGAGAUCUAUGAUCUCUUGAUGCUGCCCCAAGGUACUAAGGCCCCCCUCAAGUACAAUUCGCAACAACAUGAGGACUUUGCUCGAUUGAAGGCUGAAUUGGGUGAAACGUUGUUGGACACUGCGAAUAUAUUGAAGUUUAUGAAAAAAGAGGAGAACAAACAUUUGAAGGUCAAAUGUUUUUUCAACAUUCUCUUUUCAAGAUUUCUAAUGCCUACCACUUCACAAAGUAUAAACGUACAUGCAGUGAUGUACACAAGGAAUUUGGCAAGCCUCAAGGAAUAUAACAUGUGUAAAAUAGUGUAUGAGCAUCUCAGGGGUUCUAUCAAAAUUUGGAAGGAGCAGAGGCAGAAUGCAAAAAACAAGGCAUCACUUACUAUGCCUGGUUGCCCAAUCAUAGUUCUGGUAAGCAUUCUGGUGCUCUCAUCAAUUACUAGCUUUUUUUACCUGCCCAGCUAGCUGUCAUCUUUGGAUUUUUUUUAUCGUGCUUGAGUUGCCUGCUUCAUAUGGAUUUGAUGUGCCUGCUUCACAGUUAACUUGUUUAACUGUAUAUUCGGUUGUCAGGGAUUUAUUGUCGAUAAUUUGAAACUGACGGAUAGUGUAAACAAGAAUCGUCCUCGGCUCAAUGAGUAUGAUAUGGCGACUUUGACGGAUACUAUUCGUAAGGCUAAGGUCAAUGGCAGGAUCUCCUUCGAGAACUUUGAGGUAUUGAUCAUCUCUUUAUCUUGAAAGCAUACUAUGCCGUACUUGGCUUCAUAUCUUACAUCUUCUCUUCAAUUUCCCAUUUCAGUUGAAAUCUCUAGAGGAGAUCUGCUAUGCGCCAUCAUCAAGAUUUUGCAUCCAGUCCGCAGUUGACUCCCAAGAUGUAAGAUCUGCUAUGGUGACUUCUGCCGUGGUAACUUUGCCUGAGUCUCAAGAAGCUAUCCAGUCCGCAGUUCAGAUCCUUUCUUCAGUGCAGAAUCCUGAAUCUUUUGGAGUUGACCGAGCAAAUCUUGAUGCAUGCAUAGCUGGAUUAUCUGCAUUGCAGCCAGUUGGUGCUUCCUGCAGCAAUGUUGGUGCCUCCUGCAGCAUUUCUGAAGCUGCUGAAGCUACCAGCACAAAGAAGGCUGAUGAAGAAGAGACCAUUGCAUUGCAGCCAGUUGGCUCUUCCUGCAGCAAUGUUGGUGACUCCUCCAGCAUUUCUGACAACACAAAGAAGGCUGCUGCUGCUGCGGUGCCUGAAGCUGCCAACACAGCUGUGCAUGAAGAAGGGAUUUCUAAAGCUGCCAAGUCAAGAAGCCGUGCUACCAAGACGCCUGGUCUACCAACAAGGAGGAGCGCGAGGCUCAAUGCUGCUGCUGUUGAGCCCAAUGCUGCUGUUGAGCCCGGUGAUGUAAUUUCACCAAUUAAGUCACCAAUUAAGAAGCUAGCCAAAAAAAACAAAAACAAGUAAGAAGAACGUUGAUGAGCCUAGUUCCCCGUGCUACUGCAAGUUGCUCCCUAGCUAUGACGCAGCAGGGUGUCAGUGUGUCACCUCUGCUGUGUUUUGAGCUGUUCUUUUGCCCCGCUGUGGGUGUGUGUUAAAACUUGUUGACGUUGAAGCCAUGACUUGCUAGUUUUUUUCUUCACAUUCAGAUUUCAGGAGCUUGUCCUGGUUGCAGAACUAGUGGAAGAAGGCACGCCUGAAAGAAGGAAGAAGUGAUCCUGCUGCUAAUGCAUGAUAGGUUGUACAUACAGUAGCUGGUAGCUGGUAGCUGGUAGCUGGCGGUAGUAGAUGUAUAUUUUGAAGCUGCAAUGCUGCAGGGCUGUUAUCUAGAAAGAGGGCUGGUUGCCAUGAAACUCCUCAAUACCGUAUUUGUUAAUGCCUAGUUCUUUAGCUCGAGGUUGCCGCCGAAAUGGAGUACUUUAAAACCCCUUGUUGAAGCUAAAACCUUCCUCGUAAAACCGGUUUUAUUAUGUCGUCGAGCAGACCAUUAAAUAUUAAGUAUGAACUUUGUGCUUUCUGGCGAGAUAGUACUUCAGGUUUUACUAUUUCUCUCUGGGCUACUAAAAUCUCCUUUAUAAAACCGGCUUUAUUAUACCGUCGAGCAGAUGAGCACUUCGGGUUUCACUCGAUGUCUCUGGGGUGCUAAAACCUUACUGAAUAGAUGUAUCCAUAUCAAAAGUAAAUAUGAGACGUCGGUAAAGUGUGAUGACUGCUUUUUUUCAACGUUAUUUAGUAUGAAAUAAGUUGUAAGGAGACAAAGUUUCAGUUAAUAUUACCUACUCUAUGCAGACAUCCAUUUGGGGGAGGGAAAAAAAGUUAAUUAGUUGAGUGGAGCCUUGCAAAGAAAUAUUGCUUCCACUUAGAGGGUCAUCAUCUACAACUAAUUAACUUUCAAAUUAAUAAAAAGCAGGAUGCAUUAUAAGCAGGAUGCAUUACAAACUCGUCCCAAUUUCGUUUACGCGCGGCCCACUGCGGAAGGCCGAGCCCAGCAGCCUGUUUACAGCCCUCCCCGCUCCGCCACCCUCCCGACCAGAUCUGAACUCUCCCUCAGACCUCGCUCAACCCUCCCCGCUCCUCCUCCCCACCUGCGCCGCCGCCACCUUCACCGUCGCCCCGAGCCGCCGCCGCCACCGCCGCCUUCGUCUCACCGGCGCCAUCAAAAGAUUCUUCACCCUCUUCUCACCGGCAGACAGCAGGUUCAGGUCAGUAAUCGACCAUUAUGAUUUAGAUGAUUAGUUGAAGUUAGUUUAGGUACCACAUUUGAAGGGGAAAUGAUGGCGCAAAGGGUAUCUUCUGCAUGUUUCCAUGAUGUCCUUGGCGAGGCGCUCCUGCUCCUAGCGCUGCUCCUCGGCCUUUUGAUCGGCAGGGUUGGGAGGAGCGGAGGCCUUCUUGGCGGGGUCGAUGAGAUCGGAACCGCCGCCGAGGCCGGGAGCGGAGGGGGCUCCAGUCAUGGCGCGACAGGGAUGGAGGGCGGUGACGCCAGGGGGUAGGGGUCAGCGGCGUCGGUGGCAUCUCGCUAGGGUUGCGAAGUCCUCGUGGAGGCUACCGGCUUAUAGACAUCCACUUAGUUAUGAGUCAUCCACUUAGUUAUGAGACAUCCAUAAAUUUGGGCGAGACAUCUACUCCUCCUUGGCGAGGCGCUCCUGCUCCUAGCGCUCCUCCUCGGCCUUUUGAUCGGCAGGGUUGGGAGGAGCAGCAAUUUUACUCAUGACGGCGUUGCACGCCUCCUUGGCGAGGCGCUCCUGCUCCUAGCGCUCCUCCUCGGCCUUUUGAUCGGCAGGGUUGGGAGGAGCGGAGGCCUUCUUGGCGGGGUCGAUGAGAUCGGAACCGCCGCCGAGGCCGGGAGCGGAGGGGGCUCCAGUCAUGGCGCGACAGGGAUGGAGGGCGGCGACGCCAGGGGGUAGGGGUCAGCGGCGUCGGUGGGAUCUCGCUAGGGUUGCGAAGUCCUCGUGGAGGCUACCGGCUUAUAGACAUCCACUUAGUUAUGAGUCAUCCACUUAGUUAUGAGACAUCCAUAAAUUUGGGCGAGACAUCUACUCCUCCUUGGCGAGGCGCUCCUGCUCCUAGCGCUCCUCCUCGGCCUUUUGAUCGGCAGGGUUGGGAGGAGCAGCAAUUUUACUCAUGACGGCGUUGCACGCCUCCUUGGCGAGGCGCUCUUGCUCCUAGCGCUCCUCCUCGGCCUUUUGAUCGGCAGGGUUGGGAGGAGCGGAGGCCUUCUUGGCGGGGUCGAUGAGAUCGGAACCGCCGCCGAGGCCGGGAGCGGAGGGGGCUCCAGUCAUUUACAGGCGACGAGAUAUUGCAUGUGGAGUGUGCAGUACGUACCGGCUCUGUUCCUCUAACUAAUCCUGUGGCAUCCUUUUGCUCUGUUAUUAAACUCGUUCAGUAUUGUCAAUUUUCGUCAGUAAUAAACUGCAAGAGGUACUGCAGUCGAUGUGAGUGGUUUGUUCAAUUGAUUAACCACCGAAUGCUUCUGUAAAAAGUGGCCAACACUUCUGAAAGAUAAGAUUAUAGAGUAGUAACAUUUUGUGAUAAAACUAAGACAAGAAAGUACACUAUGCAAGAAAGUACACUAUGCACAAGUUCCUGAAUUCUUACAGAGCCAACUUCUUUGUUUGUUUGUUCUAUUUGUUGUGGUAAAAAAAUUGUGCUUGUUCACUUUCUUGCAGGGGCGGGCCCACGUGUAUUCAUGGGUAUUCAACUGAAUACCCAUUAUUUUUGACAAAAAAAUUUGUAUGUAUAGUGUAUACCAAGCAUAUAUACCAAAACAAACGAAAAAAAAUAGCAUGUGUUCUCAUCAAUUCUAGCCCGUUAAGGCAAAAAGCCCAUCUCCCUCCUCUUCCCGAAGGCCCAAACGGCCCAAACGGUCCAAACCUAAACUCCACCCACCACCAGCCCAUCUGACCAUCUCUGAUUCAGUCGAAUCGUUCCCCAUCGACGCUCAUUCGCUCCCGUCGCGGCUCGCCCUCGCCCUCUCGUCACGUCGUCACCGCGUCGGGCGUCGGCGGGUGCUAACCCUAGGCGGCGGCCGCCGGCCAGCAGCGAACAGCCCAGGCGCGGAGGCGCCCACCAGCGGAGCAGAGAGGGCAGUUCGCGGGAGAAAAGCAGCGGGAAAGGCUGUCCCGCGUUCCCUGAUUCCUAGAAUCCAGCUCAGGCUUCAGGUCAGUAAUCGACCAUUAUGAUUUAGAUGAUUAGUUGAAGUUAGUUUAGGUACCAUAUUUGAAGGGGAAAUGAUGGCGCAAAGGGUAUCUUCUGCAUGUUUCCAUGAUGCUAUGGUGUAUUAUUUUUUUAGACACAAAAAUCAUGAGGAGCACUGAAUCCAAACAUAGGUACAACACUCACUAAGAAGUCUACUGGAGACUGGAGUAACUAAAUUGUUAGCUGACCCUACCCUGUUCCAAUUUCAUAGUGUUUACUUUUUUCUACAUAUAGUUUGGAUAUCAUGUAACAUCUUGGGUCAAAGGCCAAAGGCAAGUUUGCAUGGCGAUAUGACCGAUCUCCUUACGGACUCGAGGACUGCAUCAUAGAACUUGAGGUCGCCAUCGUCGAGCGCGUAGGAGACGCAGAGCCGUGCGUCGGCUCGGAGAUCACGGCACUGGGUGUAUUCCAUGGCCUUGGAUCACACACGAAACCUGGCGCAGAGCACUCUCCUGGUCUCUUGGCCCUCCGCCAGAGCCACUAGAGCAAUAGCAAUGGCACCCUCCACGAGCUCCCUCAGUCCCGCAACCCUAGCGUAAAUCCUGCAGGGGCACGCCAUGGAUCCCGCUGCCUCCACCCGCGCUAGUAGAGCUCGUGACGUACAUCUGCAUGCCUGCGCCUCCUUCCCCUCCCCUCAGCCGCCUCAUUCUCUACAUUUUUUACAGCAGCAUCUCUCUCGGGUAUCAUCUAUGUUUGGAUUUUGUUCAAAGGUAUGAUGGUUACUCUACUUCGUAGAUCCCCAUUCUUUAAUAGUUGCUUUCCAGUUUCUUCUGUAUCAACCAACUCUUUUGUGAGCUCCUCUGCUCUGUUUGGAUUUUGUUCAAAGGUAUGAUGGUUACUCUACUUCGUAGAUCCCCAUUCUUUAAUAGUUGCUUUCCAGUUUCUUCUGUAUCAACCAACUCUUUUGUGAGCUCCUCUGCUCUUCUUUUCAUAUCAGCCGCCUCAUUCUCUACAUUUUUUACAGCAGCAUCUCUCUCGAGUAUAGACCUUAAAAAUAAAAAAACUAUUAACUUUUUUAGGAGUCAAUGGGCCGAUGGACGCGCUGUAAAGUGGAAACAACCACCGCCUUUUCUCUCGUCCCUCAAAGUCGGCUGGCUUGCAAAUGUCCAAUAGAUGCGUCUUGUUUGGAUUUUGUUCAAAGGUAUGAUGGUUACUUUACUUUGUAGAUCCCCAUUCUUUAAUAGUUGCUUUCCAGUUUCUUCUGUAUCAACCAACUCUUUUGUGAGCUCCUCUGCUCUUCUUUUCAUAUCAGCCGCCUCAUUCUCCAAAGUUAGCCGAGUGUCUCGCGUCCACGUCCCCGUCGCCGCCGAAGUCGAAGUCGAAUCACCGUGCGUUGUGUGCGUGUCGGUGUGGUUUCUCGCACACGUUAGGGUUGGGUUUAUAACAAACGAAUGGUUCUCACGGACGGCGGCACUUGGCAUGCGGCAGGGCAACGCCUCGGCUUCGUUGAAUAGGUCAACUGAAUGGUACCAUCCUAUUCAGUUUUGUUCAGCCCCCGAGCCCUCGGAAGGUUCGCACUCGGGGGUAGAGUUUUUCCGCCCUCGGAAGGUUCACACUCGGGGGUAGAGUUUUUCCGCAAUCUUUUUCACCCUUCUAUCAAGUUUUACUGUUAACUAUAUUUACACCCUUCUAUCACUAUAUUUACAGUGACUUUUUCAAUGUAAUUUAUUGAAUAGAGUGGUGUAAUUUGAUAAUAACCCAAAUAUAUGUCAAAAUUUUUCAAACAAACAAGAGGACGAUGAAGCCGUCCAUGGUAACCCAUUGGGUGAAAUCUGGCUCGGCGUGAUGCCGAAGUGGGCAAGCACCUCGAGGAAGAACACGUGUAGCAGGACGCGCAUGCCGGCCUCCAUCACCACACAGAGACCAACAUUGGUGGACCAGAGGGAUUGCACAGCAAUCAGAUAUUAGACUCUGGAACCAGGUUGGCAGUUACAAUAGUAGCAUACAUCUCAGGCAUAUAUUCAUAGAAGGAUCCUUGGUUCAGCUAACACAUAAUAGUUCAUUAGUCCAUACCAGUACUCUACACAGUUCAUUAGUACCCUACACAGUUCAUUAGUACCCUACACCAACAAAAGGCACCAGACGACUCAGGCACAGGAGCAGCUUCGAUGACAGAUGGCAUGGAAACAGAGUACCAGGUGGAGUGAGGUUGACACAUGGGCAACCUCUAUAUUAUGGCUUCAGCACCUCCCUAAGUUCAUUAGCAGAAGUCCAUCAUCCUAAGUGCAUUAGCCUAAGGGGCCAGAAUAAGUCGGCUGAAUGCUUCAUCCGCCCCAUUCAUAUGUCCCACUACAAACCACCCAAUCAAUGCGAAAAGAACACACAGUGCCACACUCCCAGGUUUCACUGUAAUUUUCAGCUUUUGAGGCUCAUUCUUCAUCAGUCGCAGCUCAUUCUUCAUCAGUCCCAAUGAAUCAGCCGUCGAUUCCACAUGUUGAUCCACGGUUGCCAGCAGCUCAGUCUUCAUCAGUUCUAAUGCAGUAGCCGUCGAUUGCUUGUGUUGAUCCAUGGCUGCCAGCAGCUCAGUCUUCAUCAGUUCUAAUGCAGCACCCACCUCUACCAUCUUGAGCUCCAGGUUUUCCUUCGUCUCUCUGAUGGAUUUGGUAAGAGAAUCGAUGGCUUGCUCAUAAUCAUUAAGUGCUAUCAUUAACAACUGAGUGACAUGGGGAGGAUCAGAGAUAAUCCCAUCCUUGAUUAACAAAAUAGCAUAGCUCCCUUCCCAGUGGAAAAAAUCACAUGACCUCCCAUCCUGUAUAGAAGAAAAAUGGAAUAUGGUCACGUGAUGGUUGAAGUGGAUCAUAUCAUUUGGUGAUUGGUUGGUACAUGUGUUGCAUCAACAUUGGAGGAGAUGGAAUGGAAUGCGCAAGGCAAAGGUAUAACCUAGGGCAUUUCCAUUUCACCGGUCAUAGGUGUGUAGAGAAGUUUAUGACCGGAUUUAGGAUAGAUGGCCGUACUAUCAAGAGGGGCAAACUUGUUUGCAUAUCGGUCAUCUAGUGCCACUUGAGCGAUCUAACUUUGCAUAGGUGUUAGGAUCGAGUGGGGUGGCAAGUUGAGAGGCUAACUCCUUUGGGAAAUUGUUUGUGAAAAGCUAACACACUUGCACAUUCGGCGCUUUUAAGAAAAUUAAGUGCAUAUUUUCUAUUGCGUCGGUGGGAAAUUUGAAGAAGUCGCAGGAGUGUUUCUCGUGGACGCUGGUGUUGGCAGCACCGGACGCUGGUCCAGAGCGUCCGGUGUGGUGUCUUUGACUCAGUGUGCAGAGCGCACCGGACGCUGGCACCGGACGCUGGGCGGUUACUGUUCGAGCGUCCGGUGAUGCGUGACGACAGCGAGUGCACGCGAGGAGUUUCUGACCGGCGAGCACCAGACGCUCAGGGUGCGUCCGAUGGUUUACGUCCGGUGACCGUGCGAGUUUGCAGAGGUGGACUCGUUGAGCGUCCGGUGGUGCUGUGCAGGCGCGCGUGCGCAGUAGCCGUUGGCGGCAACGGUCGAGUUCAAACGGCUAGUGACACGUGGCUGACGCCUGAGCACCGGACGCUUGGGGUUGAGCGUCCGGUGGCUCCUUAUGAGCGUCCCGUGCCCUCGUGUUUUGCCCAGUGAAGGGGCAACGGCUAGUUUAGCCCUUGGGGCUAUAAGUAGAAGUGGUGGCCGGCCUUGACCGGUGCUGAGCACCCUUGGGACUUAGUGUCCAUGCUUGGGGAGUGCUAGGAAAGCCUCUAACUCACUUGUGCUUGCAAGAGUCAAUAGCGAGUGAGUGAUUCUAGUGCGUUGCAUUGAGAGAUUGCAUCUAGUGGCACUAGGUGUUCGUGUUGCAAGCCAGUGGUGCUUGUUACUUUUGGAGGUUGCCACCUCCUAGACGACUUGGUGGCUUGUGACUCCGUCGAAGCACGCAAGGAGAUUGUGCGGUGCUCCGGAGAAUAGAUUGUGAGGGGUAUGGUGCUCACCCCGCGGGGAUCGCGAAGAGCAACUCUAUUGGAUCGUGCGUGUCAUUGAGCUACCUCAUUUGUGGGUAGGUUCUUGCGGUGUCCUAGUGGGGACGAGGUUCGUGUAACACCUCUUAGCCGCCGAACCACCAAGUGUUGGUCGACACAACGGGGACGUAGCUUGGUGGCAACCAAGUGAACAUCGGGAGAAAAUCAUCGUGUCAACUUUGUUCUUCCCGUUGGUUUGCAAGUCCCUAACACAAGCUUGUUUUUUACAUUCAUAUAUUUGUGCUUGUGUAGUUGCUCUUGUAAUUAGUUAGCUUGUGUAGCUUGCUAGUUACCUUCUUGCUUGUGUAGCUAGAAGUAGUUCCCUUGCGUGACUAAUUUGGUUUGUGUAACCUUGUUAGUCACAUUGCUUAGUUUGUGUAGCUAAGCAAUUUGCGCUCUCUAAUUUGGCAUUAGUUGCCUUAUUAUUGAGCAUUGCUAGUGAGCUUAGGAGCUUUGUGCUUUUUGCUUACUAGUUGUGUAGGAGCUUCCCAGUUUGCAAAGUACUAGUUGCAUAGGUUUGUGUGACCUUGCUUCUAGAUUUGGUUAGGUGAACUCUUGCUAAGGUAGCACCUUACUUGCUUGUUUAGGAUCUUUUCAAGGUGUUAGAGAACUUAGAUAGAGGGGUAUAGUCUUGGCUAGACCGAUAGUUUUAAUUCCGCAUUUGUUUCGGUUAGCCGGCGCGAUAAAUUUAGAAAGGACUAUUCACCCCUCUCUAGUCCGCCAUCUCGACCCUUCACGGUGUCGUUGUCGCCGUCGACUAGUGGUGAAGCUAGAGCAAAUAAAAAGGUGGUGCAUUUCUUUUAUAAAAACAUAAACUCUGGCUAUAAUCAUGAUGAAAAAUUGAUUUACUUAAUGAUGUUUAAUUUUUUUUGGGUGUACGUGCACACACUGCCUUGUAUGUGGCUUCGCCACUGCCGUCGACUCCGGCGACGAUGGAUGUCCGUACGUGCGACGCUGGAGGAGACUAAGGUCACGACGUCGUCGGCGAGGUGGAGGCUCGGUGCUACAGCUGCUCGCCGAGGUGGUGCCGUGGCCGGUGCGCACGCCGCGGCUGCUGCCGCACGGUGAACGGCGAGGCGAGGGCGAAGAGCAGCAGGUGGAGGAGAGGUCGCGGCCGUGGACGUGGUGCUGCGUGCGCGCCCAACACGGCAGUCGUGUGGCUCCAUGGCGGCAGCGGCGUGGUCGCACCGUCGCGGCCAUGGCGGCCUUGGGGGCUGGGAAGGUAGGCAGAGGGGAUGCUGUGGCGGCUGGCGUGCGGAGUAGGUGAGGCGAGGCUGGUCGAGGGUCUUUAUAGCCAGGCGACUAGGGCUCGGCGCAGGGAGAGGCGUCCUUGCAGGUGGCCGUGAUCGUCUGAGUGCGUGCUCGCGGACACGCGGCCUCCAUCCGCGGCUCAUGUAGGUGAGCGAGCCGAGAAGGUUCGAGAAGCACUCGGCCGCGUUAGUCCGAGGCGUGGUCAAGAUGAGUCCGCACUGGCGUAGGCAGCAACGAUGGGAAAUGGAGCUGCGCCGUCGGAAGGGAAGAGGGAGCGCGUACGGUCGGAGGAAAAAGGAAACGACGCUGGCCGCUGGAUGGAAAAGAGACGGAGAUUCGGCGUCAUCCCGUGCGUGUGCUUUGCUCGUGAGAGGGUAGGGCUGGCUGCCCCUUGUGCUUAGCUGGGCUGGUUCAGUCCUCAGUCGGCUGCAUGGGCCAAGACCGAAAGGAGUGGCCUAGGAACAGCAGUGGAUACAUGUUGAGUGCAGUGCCGUGCAUGGUUGCUUGGCUAAAUACGUGGUUCACGUACAAACAAAGACACAGGAGCAUGCAGCUUGGUGCCACGUACUGCCACACCACGUGCAUGCACAGGAAUUAGGAGAUGGAAAUUAGGAAAGAGGGGGCCUGGUGAUUAGAGAUUAAAUAGGGAAUUAGGAGAAAACUACCUCCAAGCACAAAAAAAAGAACCAAACAUUCAUGCAUCUAACUAAACAUGGUGCAUAAAAAUAUUUGUAAAUCCAGUUCGAAGAAGAUGGGAGAGAGUUGGGGUUUGUGUUUUAGGAAAUAAUAAAUCAUAAGUAAUGCUGCAUGUUAAAUUCGAGUGCGGCUCGAAUUCAACCAAGGUUUUAAUUUUUCUCCGAAAACAUUUUAUUUGAAAACGUCGUUUGUCAUGUAGGUGAUCAAUCCAGGUGACAACGGUUUGUUGUAAAAAGUUUUUAAGAUCGGAUUUUGAAUUUGGGCAGGAAGGAGAAGCAUUUGACUUAAGUUCGACCUAACAAUUCACAUGCAACACACAUUCAAACAAAAUUUUUAACAAGUCGGGAUUUUUCUAUUACACAAAUUCUCGGAAUGUUACAUUGAAACUCUUCUGCAUUGUUUCCAAAAUAUAGAUGUGUUGAAAACAAACUCAUGAAACCCUACAGAGGAUGGUCUUAUCGGAGUCAUUGUAGAAUCAUGGGCAGUGACCAAGGAGAAAAUAAUUCGACCAAUGAAGAGAGUUGUAUGCAAAUAGUUAAAUUAAUUAGACCAGUGAGAGGAGCCGCAUGUGCUUAAAAAAGAUAAAAAUAAUUAUUCCUAGUUUAGAUAACUCUGAUUUUUAAAGAAUUUUUUCGGGUAAACUACGAUAAAUAGAUGGAGAGAGAGUACGUGCCAAGCACGCUUUCGGAUAAAGAAGUUCAAAAGGAGGAUGGUUGUAACAUCAGUCUUCCCAAUACUAGAAAUUAUAUAUAGUUGUUAUAUUUAUCAAUUUUGAUAGACACUUCAUAUAAAAAUCAUAGUUCAUGGAUAAUUUCUACAAAUCAAUAUUUUAUCAAAUCGCAUAUAUUCUACCUCCAUUCUCUCUGUCAAUCAUAUUCCUCUGCGUCUUGGUUCUCGUGUAAACAUGAUUUUGUCUUGGUUCUCGUGUAGACAUGAUUUUUAACUUAGACCUAGUUUGUAUGAUUCUUAUCUCUUUUCAAUAACUACUUUGUUACAUCAGCAAAAACACUAUAUGACAAUAUAAUUAAUGUUCAUAUAAACUAUGAUGGUUUCUGUAUUAAAAGUGUACUUAGUGCAUCAUCAUUCAUCAAUGAACAAUUGACAGCCAUGGACAUUAACUUCUCAGCAUACAAACUCUUAGUCUUAAAUGAAAUAGAGUGAAUUCCAUUGAGAAAUUUUAAGAUUUUCUUAACCUGGAGAAAGGCUUUGCGAGUAAGCAGUUCGGUAAAAAUACAUCCAGCGGCCCAAAUAUCCACCCCCAGGCCCCAGAUCCAUACUGCUUCGAGCCAAAUAAUAAUUCUGGUGCCCGGUAAGAACGUGCAAAGACCUACUUCAUCCGUCCUAUAAAUAAUUAUAUUUUUUACCUUUAUGAUUAAUAUUUGACUGUUCGUUUUAUUUCAAAAAAUUUUAAUAAAUAUUAUUUAUUUUUUCAUAACUUAUUUUAUAGUUAGAUAUAUUUUUAUAAUGAUGUAUUUAUUUUAUUAUUUGCAAAAAAACUUAAAUAAAAUGAAUGGUCAAAUAUAAAUCAUAUUAGUCAAAAAAUAUAUUUAUUUGUGGAACGGAGAGAGUACGCGUAAAAACAGUUAAAAGUCAGGUGCCUGCCAUCACCAGGGUAAAAUAAGAGGGCAUUUGGUUAAAGGUGCCGAAACUUUAACAGGUACUACAAUAUAUUUAUAACUAAAGUAUUUAGUGUUUAAUUAUAGACUAAUUAGAUUUAAAAAAGAUUGUCUUAUAAACUAUUUUCAGCUCUAUUUUUUGUUUGGCAAAUACUUCGUACAUACUCCCAGAUCCAUACUGUUUCUGGUGCCCGGUACGAAGGUGCAAAGACCUACGCGUAAAAACAGUUAAAAGUCACGUGCCUGCCACCACCAGAGUAUGUCCAAACAUGGAUAGAUGUUCAAAAAAAAAAAAACAGCACAAACUAACGAGGCCUAAAUCUAGUCUUCUAGUUACUAAAGGAAUGAAAUACAAGGGAAACUCUAAAUAACUGCUCAACACAGAGAAUUAGAGUUGGCCUUUGACUGCAUAGAAUGUUACUAAAUAGGAACUAUGAUGAGCAGAACUUCCAGUUCAGAUGACAAACAGCGAUGGUAAUUAUGUAAGAAAAAUGAUAUCCUUCACAAAUGAGUACUCCCAAAUAAAAUAAAUUUACUAACUGACACAGUUCCAAUUAUCACUGCUCUUGCAAGGAAGCUGCAUAGUCAACAAAUUUCGGCAUGCCAUGGUUUUUCGGGGCGCCGUCUAAGGCUUUCGGGAAAAAAAUUCAAGAUUCUCCGUCACAUCGAAUCUUGCGGCAUAUGUAUGGAGUAUUAAAUUUAGACGAAAACAAAAACUAAUUACACAGUUUACCUGUAAAUCGCGAGAUAAAUCUUUUGACCCUAAUUAGUCUAUGAUUGGACAAUAUUUACCACAAACAAACGAAAGUGCUACCGCAAAAUCUAAAAUUUUUGCCAGCUAAACAAGGCUUAAGUAGGAGUAAUCAUCCAUGCGACCAUGCCGGCACGCAGAUUUGAAAGUCCAGCAAUGCAGGAAUGCAGGGUAAGCAAAUGCAGCUUUUGGUAUUAGGAAUCAGGAUCCGGAAUUCAGCAUUGUUACACCGUGUAAAGCGAAACCAAUGAUGCAGAAUGGGAAACCACUUGAGCAGGUUAAUAUUUAUGGACAAGAAUGAAUGACAGUACUGAGACGUGUUUUAUGCCUAGCAAGCAGCGCUUGUUGCUCAUGCCAUCUGAAAGCAGCUCCACAAGGAAACCAAUUUUUUUGUCAGAAGUUAAACAGUACUACAAGAUAACUGGGGCACAAGUAGAGCAUUACGUGUGAUCUACUGAUGACAGAAUUAAGCCUAGAAAAAGCUUUCCCAAACAACAUGACCAUCAGGUUCCCGCCUCUUUAUCAGCUCCCACUGAAGGUAAGUUGGUGCCAACUGGGGCACAAGUAGAGCAUUACGUGUGAUCUACUGAUGACAGAAUUAAGCCUAGAAAAAGCUUUCCCAAACAACAUGACCAUCAGCUUCCCGCCUCUUUAUCAGCUCCCACUGAAGGUAAGUUGGUGCCAUUGGAAACCUCACAUAGUUGACGAGUUCAGAGCCCUCCGCCUUGUAAGGCGCAUUGCGUGGUGCAUCCUCGCCCUCCUCGGUGCUCUCCUUGGUAUAAGACCUGUACGGCUCCAUUCUGUGUACAGUUCGAUUUCUCCAAUAAUCGAUCAGCCUCAGUUGUUUGAUCAUCUCUUCCUGCUCAUUACUCAACACACUUUGGUUCCUAGGUGGAUUGAUCCCCAAAUCAUUUAAGCAACCUUUCUGGUAUUUAUUCAGGUUCCGCUGAUCUGGUUUGUUUUGUGGUACCUCAUAACUCUCAGGUCUUCUAUUGAUAGGGUAACUGAGCAAGGCAUUGUUCAUAACUUUUUUCUUCCAGCCAUCCACAUAUGGUAAUUUAUCCAGAAUUGCUCUGAACUCCUCAAAUGAUAACACAGAUCUGAUGGUCUCAUACAUCUUUUGGAAGAAAAAUGAGCACUGCGUCAAAGGAACCAACGAGGCAUGAACUGGAAACAUUGACCUGGACUCGAAUUCCCUCUCAAUUACAUUGAGCAGGUGCAAGAUAUCUUCAGGAAUGUUGUACUGUAUACCAGUUGGAGUAAUAAGCUUGAAGAGAUCUCGAAUAAUGUUAGCAGCACACUUGAAGUUUCUAUGGAGACGCCUCUUGAAUUCUGGACCUCUGCGAAGACAACUGAUAAUGGUGACAUUCUUGAAUUUCACUUUUCCUGUUUCAGUAAGUACAAUAUUAUCUUCAGUGAAAUCCUCAAAACAGAUUUGCAACGCUUCAUUGAUAACAAGGCCCUUGAGCAUAGUCCUGAUACAUUUCUUGCAGCGUUCGCUGGCAAUGGUAAAGCUUUUAGGGUCUUCAGUUUCCCCGGGCAAUGGAUUACAUCCAUCUUCAUCCAGCCCUACGAGAACAACUUUUGGAACGAGCAUGUGGUACUUCAGCUUGUACACCUUCAAGUCAAUGUAAUGUUCACAGUGUACUUGUCCAGACAUGACACACAGGUCAUAGGCUACAUACGGUAGGGUUCCUGCAGAAAAAAAACUACGUGAUUGACAGGAAUAGAAAUCAUCUAAAAAUAAGAUAGAAGUAUGGAAGUUAAUUUAAGAAGCCAGCGAACAGUAAAAACAUAUUUGCAAGCUAAAAGGUUAGUAGGUAGUGGUGUAAAGUGGCAUCAUUCAGAUUAUAAUGUUCCUAUAGACAGUUUAUAUCCAGCUAAGAAUAUAUCCCAAACACUAUGCAAUCUCAGAAUUUCAUGUAAAGCUGCUCACUUGAGAAACUUCCGGAUGGCACCCCCAGCAAGACGAACAAAUGAUGUUCAGCAUAUUUUACCAGCCUAGCAUGCUUCUGUAGUGUAGCCCUCAACACAGAUGUCUCCUACAGAUACAGAAUAAAGUGCAAGUUAAAUAAGGUAUGUGUGCUUCCAUCAAUUUUUUUUUGCAACUAGACUGUUACUUGUAACAACACUAGCAUUCAAAAUGGGAACCAGCACUUUCAGGAGAAUGAGUCAGUGAAGCAUUGGGGAGGGGGAACUUACAGGCAACACGUUGAGCACAAAAAGAGCGUGUCCCAAAACCAGAGCAUCUACAUCUUUAGGACUACAUAGAUACAAAAGGAUAUAUUAGUGAUCCAUUAGGCCUAUCAUAAAUAAAUAAAUAAAUAAAAACUAAUACAAACAACACAGGUAUAUGCAGGACGAUUGUAAGUGUACCUGUUCCCAAAGAGGUACACUUCAUCCUUAGUUAAUGUUUCAGACAACAUAUCAUAAACAGCCUCUGCCCUCCAAUAAAUCUGUUUAAAUAGAAACCUGCAUUAGGUUAGGUUGGCAGUAGCACCUAAAAAGAAAAAAGAAUAAUAAUAAGCAAACCACCUCUUGUCCCAAAUCAGCAGUUGACCUAUUCAACCUCGAACAUAGAUCACGUUUUUCAUCUCUUAGCCCCUUCCAGUGAAGAAUCUUCCGAAUUGGCCAAGCGAUAUCAGAGAAGUAGAUAUCAUUUGCAAUGCUUCCAUCACUAACUACCCACAGUUCAUACUGCAGGGCAUCAGCAAGCCAGGUCGAAACCAUGACCUUUGUGCGCUCAACAGAGGCUGAUUGUGUAAUCAGUUGGCUGCAUGGAGUUUAAGUCAAGAAUGCUGGUAUCCCUAAGAUAUUGAAUCACCCCUCCGCCCUCAUUGUUCAAAGCCACACAAUCUCCAAAUUCAACAUACGGUAUUUGCUCUGCGCAAAAAACAAAACGCAGUGAACUUAUCAGCAGGGGGCGAAAAAAUCCCAACCAGAACAGUGACCUAGCACACAAAUGCAGAUCCAGCAGCGACAAGUGAUUCUGGCAACAACUAUCUAGCAACAAGGGUAGACAGAUGCAACUAUGGAAGAGCACCAAGCAAUUCUGGCAACGACCACCUAGCAACAAGGGUAGACAGAUGUAACUAUCCAGCAGCAACUAGUGUCGAUCCAGUAGAGCAUCAAAUGAUCUACCUAGCAACAAGGGUAGCAACAAGAUGCAAAUAUCCAUGUGGAUCUAGCAACGUCAUGAUAUAACAUUAAGGCACAGUAAACAGUGGAUGAGAGGAGGUGGGGACUGGGGAGAUCACCUGCGUUUGGGUUGCAGGUGUCCACUUCGAGGUCGAAGGGAACAUCAGCCAUUCUGAGGUAGAGAAGUACGGUUAGGCACAUCGGGCAAGCGGUGGGGAGUCGGAAGCCUGGCUUCCGCACAACCAAAGUCUUCCGCGGCGCCGCCUCCCACUCGCGCGCCACAGGACCAGCACCCGCGGCCCUGGCCGCCACGGCCAACUUCGCGGCCAUGGGCCCGGCAGCAUUAGACGUCCCCCACUCCUUGACCGUGGCAGCGACCAUGGACGCGGCCCCAGCCGCCAGUACUUUGAGCCCCAAAUCCGCGGCCGCGGACCAGGUGACCGCCUCCACGACCGCGGACCCGGUCACCGCCUCCAGGGCCACGGACCCGGUCACCGCCUCCCACUCCGCGGCCGUGAACCCAGCCGCCGCGGCCGCCACGGCCAUGGCACCCGCCGCCGCCACCGAUGGCAUUGGCUGGCUUCUGAGUAGGGUUUAGGUUCGGGACUUCGUCUCGGUUUGCCCUGAAUCCGAUUUCAAGAUGGAGGGUUAAAAAAUCAGGGCCCAGAUAACCACAAAGCCCAGUGUGUGUGUGGUGAUAAUCCAUCACUAGCGCGAUAGGACGCUUCGCAAUUCUCACGGUGCUUUCAUCCGUACAACCAGCUAAUCAUCUGUUAAAGACGAGCCCAAAGCUGAUAGGCUGAUUUGUUUUAGGCCCUGUUCGUUUUGCCUCCAAAACGAAGGUUAUUGGGAAGCAUUGAGGCCCUGUUAGUUUGAUCCAGGGCCAAGGGGAUUGAGAGAAAUCGAGGGGAAAUUUACGAGUCAAAAUCUUCGUCAACACUCUCCAAUCCCUUUGAUUUUGAUUUUAAAAGGGAGAUCCAAAACCAAAUGAGUUGGAGGGGAUUGAAAGGGCCUAUAUUGUAAGUCAAAAUCCUCGUCUAACCCAUUCAAUCCCUCCAAUCUCAAGAUCAAGCGAAGUCCCCUCCAAUCCUCAUGAUUUAAGGAUGGAAAUAAACAAACAAAUAAAGAAACUAAAAAAACAUUGUUGUUCAAAAAAAAAAGUAAGCACAAGUAGGCAGAUGGAUAUUAUCAUACCAACGAUAAAUCUCCCUGAGGCCUUCUUGUUGGGUUUUGAUCCACCAUAGAGGACCCUGAUGGAUGGAUCGGAAGCCGGAAGGCCGCCCUGCUGCUGGCUGUACAGCCCGACCGACGGGCCGUGCAACCCAUCUUCCUGGCAAAGGUCAACCGGAGAGGCCAGACAACCGGCCGGGCCGAUCCCCGAUGAUGACCAUGGCACUUGAGAAGACUCGGCAAGAGCCUCUUCUUCCUCCUCAUCGUCUUCUUGUUUUGAUGGGUAUAUGGAUGCAAAGAAGAGGACGACUGCUGGAGAUGAAAGAGGUGGGGGGGGGGGGGGGGGGGUGGGGAGGGGAUUGUUUGGGGGCAAGGGUGGAACAGCUUAGGGAGGGGAUAUAAGUAGAGGAUGAGGAGCGUCCGGGACCGGCCUUUCCCAUAAAACCAGGGCCGUCGGUAGAGUAUAAUUAAUAAUAACAACAACUGAUAGAUCACGCGACACGACACGCGUGCAUAUCGAUUCGUUUCCGCCAGCGCGGCGCACGGUCCACAUCAAGGCCCCCCACCUUUGAAAAAGAGGGCCCGAUGGAGACGGCGACGGCUGCGGUAACCCAAGCGGCCACGUCUCGUCUGGUCUCCUCUCCUCUCCUCUCCUCUCGUCCGGCCCGUCCCACUCCGACGCGGACCCAUCCAAAUUUAAAGAUGGUCCAGGCCUGCUCGGCUAGCGUUCAGCCCAUCCAAAUCCAAAUUAAAGAUGGUCCACGCAGGCACGCACGCACCCCACCACGGACGGAUCCGACGAGUUGCAUUUUAUGGCGUUUUCCCUUUGGAUUUGGACGCACCACCGCACCAAUGCACGGCUUUCCUUCCCUCCACAGUCCACACCAACAACGACCACCGCAUUUUCCCGCCCCAGGACCCGUAGUCGUCGCACGUGUCAAAAGGUAUGGCCGGGCGCCGGCCAUUCCCUCGGUUCCUCCGCCCCUGCUCCCGCUACGCCAACGACUUCGGCCUUGUUUAGAUAAAAAAUUUUACAAGAGCACGAAUAUUAAAUAUAGAUAAAAAAACUAACUAUAUAGUUUAUCUGUAAAUCAUGAGACAAAUUUUUUAAGCCUAGUUACUCUAUGAUUGGACAAUGUUCUAAAAAGUUUUUAAAUCUAAACAAGGCCUUAGUUUACCAAGAAAAUCAAAAAAGUUUUCAACACAUUGAAUCUUGUGAUACAUAUAUGAAGCAUUAAAUAUAGACAAAAAUAAAAAACUAAUUAUACAGUUUAACUGUAAAUCGCGAGACAAAUCUUUUAACUCUAAUUAGUCUAUAAUUGAACAAUAUUUAUCACAAACAAGCAAAAGUGCUACAAUAACAUCCAAAAAAUUUUCACAUUUACAAAACACGGACAUGUGCUGGUCAACAGGAGUUUACUGUUCAGUUUACAAAACAAUUGAAUUUUAAAAAUAGUGUAGAAGAGUUUUAUUUCUAUAAAACUAUCUCUAUUUUUAUAAAACCAUCAUCUCUACUUCUUCAUCAAUAUAAUGUCAUAUUAACAUAUUUAAUGUGCAUAAAAUUUUCAUGAAACCUCCAUCUUAUUUACCAAAUUUAUUAGUCAUUAAAUAAUAUUUUCUCUCAACUGAAAUUGUUAAGUCAGACAUUAGACCAAUCUUAGUGGCCCGUUUAAUGCACUGUUUCCAAAAUAAAUCCGCUGACAGGGCAACAAUGAAACGAAUAAUAAAACAACCUCCACAAAGCAUGAGUUUCACCUUGACAUUUCCUAGGCUGGGCAAAGCAUUUAAUUACUGCAAAAUGAUUGGAUCACAUGUAAGAUGGUGAAACGAUUUAGCCCUCAAUGGGGACUUCAUCCCGUUUCACCGCGUGGGAAACAACGUCCGCGGAAUUUCACUAUGAUAAAACUACUUCCUUCUCUCUCCUUUUCGUUUCAUGCAAAAAGUGUAAUUUUACUUACAUGACGCUCUAAUAAAUGUGCAUGACAUACUAGUGAAACCCCCCGCUCAGACUGACUUUAUUAUCACAUAAACAUGAAAAGUAGCGAUCUUCAUCAGUUCUAUAAAUGCUAAUCAGAUGAGUACCUGGUGACAACACGACCGCCGUAGCCUCUUCGGUAGCUGAGUAUUUGCUAUAGGACAUGUUUAGAUCUAUUUUUUUUAGAUUUUGAACAUUGUAAUAUUUUUGUUUGUAUUUAUAAUUAUUGUCUAAAUAUAUAAUAAUUAGGUUUAAAAUAUUCGUCUCGUAAAUUACAGACAAAUUGUAUAAUUAACUAUUUUUUAUCUAUAUUUAAUAUUUUAUACACGGGUCUAAAGAUUCGAUGUAAUAAAAAAUCUUAUAAACUUUUAGAAUUUUAAAGAUAUCUAAAUAGGUCCAUAGUCUGCAAAAAAUGAUUCAUCUGAAAACCCUGUAAGGCUGCAAGAAUUUAUAUCCUUCACUGUUAGAUAGGAUACAGAAAAAUCCUGAAAAUAUUAAUAGCAAGUCAACAACAUACAGUACCAUCAAAAAAUAAUGGCACACAGCAUUUCUCAGUACGUAAAGAUAGAUCAAUAAUAGUUUGUUGGUUUGAGAUUAUCUACCAAAUCUGUCAGUCAUUCAGAAGUGUUCAGCAAAUAAUAUUUUUAGUCAUAACUAUUCAAGAGUGUAACAAAUAAUAUUUGCAAGCGACCAAGCUGAAAAAACUAGUAAGACCCAUGCGGCAAAUGCCGCGGGCGCUAGGCAGCUACUAUUCUAGCCAAUUAAACAAUAUUGAGAUAUGUGCAGCAGAAAAGAGAGUACAAAAUACUAGGAAAGAAAGUGCUAGUGCUGAACACGUAAGAGAGAGUGUGUAUUGCAACACGAAUCUUAAAACACUUUUGAAUGGUGGAAGAUAAGCACCACUAAACAGCCACAUGCUACGAUACAUUAUCGCAAAUAACUAGUGAUCUUGGAAGAAUGGUCAUAUUUAUUCUUUAUUAUUGUAUAAAAGGAGCAUCAGAAUAACAAACGUAGUCGAAAUAAUAAUUAAUGUUCAAAGUAUUACAAAAUAGAAAUCAUGAAAAGAUCAAAAUCGCCUAUGAACAGGUAAUCUAUAGUAGGUACAACCUAAGCCCUAUUCUUUCUAUUUGAAGUAGGCGAAGCAUCAGAAUUUACAGGACACUGUGAUAAUAUGGUCUUGUUUAUGCUUUGUUUACUUCCACCUAAAAAUUCAAAAUUUUUCAAUAUUCUCCGUCACAUCGAAUCUUUAGACGCAUGUAUGGAGUAUUAAAUGUAAAUAAAAAUAAAAACUAAUUGCACAGUUUGGUCGAAAUUGACGAGACAAAUCUUUUAAGCCUAGUUAGUCUAUCGUUAGACAAUAAUUACCACAAACAAACAAAAAUGCUACAGUGUCGCAAAAAUUUUUCCUUCACGAACUAAACAAGGCCUUAAUUCAUCCAAAAAACCAAAAAAUUUUAAGAUUUCCUGUCACAUCGAAUCUUACGGCACAUGCAUGGACCAUUAAAUAUAAUCAAAAACAAAAAACUAACUAUACAGUUUGCCUGUAAAUCGCGUAUAACACUCCAAAUUUUUGAAUUUCAAAUUCAGUUCAAAUUUGAUUUAAUUUUGGCUUAGUUUGAAUUUUUAGAGAAUUAUUAAAUAAUUUACAAAAUUAAUUAAAAUAAAAUAUAAGGUAGAAACGUGUUUGAUUUUUGCAUUCAUGCUGCUGCAUAAUUUUGAUUGAUUUGAUUUAUUUAUUUUGCUGAUGCUUGUUUUGUUUUGUUUUGGAGCAAGAAAAUUUAAAAAAAAAAGAGAAAGGGGAGAGCCCCCGCCUGGGCCGACUUCCGGCCCAGCACCCCGCGCCCCUCCCCUCUCCCCUCAUGCCCAAGUGGGCCGCGGCCCAAGCCGCACGGCAGCGGCCGGCCCCGCACUCACCCCCCGCUGCUCCCGCCCGCAGUCGCUGACGCGUGGGCCCCGCGAGUGGGACCCACCGCCUUCUUCCACCUCCGGCCGGGACGGACUCGGGGCGCAACCGACGCCCCGGUUUCCGCGCGCGGCGCCCCCAAUCCGAGCCGCACGCGCCCCAAGGAUCGUCGUGCCUUUAAAUAGCCCCCAGCCGCCGCUCGCGAACCCCCCCUAGAACCCUAGCUUCGAAAUCCGCGCCGCCGCCGUUCUCGCCAAGCUCGCGCCGCCGCCGUUGAAACCGCCGCCGUCGAGCUUCUCUUUGACUUCGUCGUUUCGCGGAGGUGAGCUCGUCAUCGCGCUCGUCGUGACGCGCCGACCCCGCCCGUGCCCUCGGCACGCUCCCCCGUGCCCUGCAGCACCGCCGCCGAAGCUCCGGGCGGCGCCAAUGGCGCCACCGCCGCCGCCGGCCGCCCCUGCGCUCCGCACCGGCGCGCGGUCCACCGUGGACCGCGGCCCUGCGCCCCCGUGCGGCCGGUCCACUGGACCGGGUCCAGGAGGCCGCCCCCCGCCGCUCCGCAGGCGCGGUCCACCAUGGACCGCGGCCUUUCCCCCCCCCCCCCGCGCCCCGGUCCACAGCACAGUGCCGUGGACCGGCCACUCCCGAGCCGCCACGUGGCCGAGCCGGCCAGCACCCACGCGCGCCCCUGCACGUUUUGCAAAAAGGCCCCUGUUUUUAUUUAAAAUUAACCCGCUAUCCUAUGCAGUUUAAAAUAAUUAUGUUUAUGCCCUUAGUUUUCGCAGUUUAACCCCUGGCUCGGUUAGAAUUUAUUUAUUUAGUCCAAAAUGAGUUUUAAUUCAGUUUUUAAUUAGUUUUAAUUACGAAAAAUAGUUCAGUUUAUCUACAGAAAUGCCAUUCAACUUGUUUUAGCCAUAACUUUUGCAUCGUGACUCCGAUUUAGGUGAUUCUGGUCGCUAUGGUUUCGUUUCGUCGAGUAGAAUACAGUAAUGCAGUUGCUUUUUGUUUCCGCAUGCUUUGGUGUACUGUUUCUGAUUAAGUUUGUUUGCUUGCAUGUAUUGUUCCUAUGAUUGAUGAUUGUCGCGUAUAGCCAACGAGACGUUCGUGAAGGAAGAGGUUCAGGAUCCCGCUGAGUUCGAGCAACCCGACUUCGAUCAAGGCAAGUGCAGACACCGUUUGAUCAUUUUGAACCUACUCAUUAAUGCCAUUUACUUUAUAUGCAUGUGUCCAAUGAAUGCAAACCCUAAGGACAUGACUAGCUUUGCUUAUUAUUCCUUGCUCACCUGGGGUUAUGUAUUUGGGUAGACUAGGCUAUACUAGGUCUGCUUAGCUGCUCUACUCAUCUUAUACACAUGUCUAAACAAGAAUUACUCUCUCUCUACUUAACUUGAUGCUUAAACUGUGCUGAAUCUUUGGUCACUGCGGUGAUGGCGAUGUUGGAUGCUUGCGAGCAUCGUGAUGAUGGUGGUGACAGGGGGAGCGGGUACCGUUGGUGGUCCGGUUUGCCGGGCGUACCCGUCUCUGCUCUCCGUAAGGACUUAGUCAGGGAGCGGCCCCCCUGGGACUUACAGUGCAGCUCCAAGCUAUAUGGCUCUGGCUUGACUAAUUAGCAGGACCUCCACUAGUAGGGUGUUACUUUCCGGGUAGGCGUGAGGAAGUAACUUGGGUAAUGAAUAUUAAGUUGUCGGUUGAUCGGUACGCCAUGGCUAUGGGUAUCGACUGCCGAGCGCCCCGACAAAAACUUGCGAGUGGCAUCCUAUUAGUUGGACCCUGUGAAAGGUCUCGUAGUGAGACCCUGCCUGCUCACCUUGGAAGUGUUUUGGGGAGUCGCGACCCCGGGCAAAUGGGAAUCACGACUUGGAGUGAACGUGCACACCUCUGCAGAGUGUAAAACUGAUAUAUCAGCCGUGCUCACGGUCACGAGCGGCCCAGACCCUCACUUGAUGAGCAAAUUGGAUUCACUGGUUACUUGGAGAUGGACCUUGGCGAGGUUGCUACCUCGUGUUUUGGCGGAAUGGCUAUUCCGUGAUGGCAGGAUUGCUAUCCUGUGGUAAUAAUUGGGGUUAAUCCCUGGAUUACUAUAAUAGUUAGGAUAGUCAUUUAAAAGAUGCUAAUUACUACUUACACUAAUUAAGGGUUGGGUUUAUACUACUCAUAUUUAGUAAUAGGUUGUUCUAGUAAUUGUUAUAAUUAAAAGCGAUCAACUAAAAUGCUACCGCAGUCAAACCAAGUCAACUUUACCUUGUUUUAAGCCUUGCAUGUCAUUACUUUCCGUCUGUGCUUGCUGAGUUCGACAUGAGCUCACCCUUGCUAUAAUCAUUAAAGGUUGCUCGGACGAUCAGGAGUACAAUUGCGAUUUCCCUGAGGACUACCCUGAGUCUCCUGGUUGUUAGGCUCGUGUGGUUCUGCCGUCGACCUUCCUGUGGCAAGGUGGUCCUGCUACGUCGGCGUUUAGUUUUCCCUUUAUUUAUGGAACAGUUUAGUUUAUGUUUCCCCUCCGCACUUUGAUAAACAUUUGGCUUGUAAUAAUGGUACUUUUACUCUCAUUUAUGUAAUUCGUUUGAACACUGUGUUUUGUACCAUUGAUGAUGUCGGUCCAUGUGUGUGAAUUUGAGAUCCUGGCGCACAUGUGAUUUGGCACCCGAAUGCUCUUUUACAUCCGGGUGUGACAGAAGUGGUAUCAAAGCCGUGUUGACCGUAGGAUCACGCAGCCUAGUUAGAAACAGCCGUUUAGACUGUCCCUUUUGGGUGGAAUACACAAUUGGAUCUAUUAACUACCUUACUAACCUGUCUCAUUAGACUUUAUCUAUUAGCCUUGUCUACUUACUUUUACUAACAGUUCAGUUUAUUCACUUAUUUCUUGCAUUUAUUACCUUGUUAUCAUUUAUUGCUUUCUAUUUCUCAUAUUGCAUUUAUAUUCUUGUUUCAACUUUUACUACUUGUUAUUUGAACCUUUCUUUUAUACCUUGUCAUUUAUUAUCAUUCUACUCAUAUUACCUUCUUGUUCCUUGUUUUUCAUUUAUUACUUGAGUUAUGUUUUAUUUCUGCCUUGACAAUAAAUUUCAUUACCUUGUUUUCACUUUAUACCUUCAUUACUUGCUUUUAUAUCUUACCAUAAAUACCACCAAAGUUCAUAUUGUCCAUCCAUUGUAUAAUCUGGGUUCAUCUUCAUUACACAUACACUUUUACCUUCAUUUAUGUUAUUCCUUUUACCUAUCAUUGUCAUGAUCUAUUAACCGUUUCCUGCAUGUCUAUGAUCUUAUGCAUAAGUAGAUGACUCGCCACCUGACCUGCCGCAAGAGCGUUAUCCGUUUCCGCCCCGUUCAAGCUGUGGAGUUCUCGUUGACUGGUCGCGUGGAUAACAUCGUGUUCCAGCCUAACCAGCAUCUUGAUGACGGUGCUAACCUCCAAGACGCGGAACCCUAUGAAGGACAGCAACCACCUCAAGCUCUGGUGGUGCAUGGAAGGGCGCCUUGCUGGGCACCUGGAGGAGAUGAUCCCUUCGGUGAUGAUGACAUGGAUGAUGAUGAUGAGGAUGAUGAUGAUGAUGAGGAUGCACCCGGAGGACCCGGAGGACCCGGUGGACCUGGAGGUCAAGAUGGACUUUUUGCUGCUGAUGAUGGGUGGAUUGUGACAGUCUGCACCAGGGAUGGUGGAGAGUGUUUCUUCCACAGCGAGCUGAAGCGUCUCCUUGACCAGCAGCUGGGACAUGGCAUGUUCUCAGUGGAGUACCGCAGUGAGCACUGGAGUCACCCAGACUACCCGGCGUACUGGAAGGUCUGGGCACACGUCGGCAGGCCUAACCCGACGUUGAGGGCACUGAGGAUCAUGUCCAUACAUGAGGCUGUGGCUGAGAGGUCUACCCAGAUGGCAGGCAUUAAUGAUGCUGCUCGCCAGGCUUUCUACGCAUACCGUGAUCACUUCUUCGAGGAGAUCAGCCAGGAUGAGCGUCGCUACUACCCUCGCCGUCGCCGUGGAGAGUUGGCGAUGACUAUUGCUUCCACCACUGAUGAGCAAGACCCCCGCAUGCACAGGACUGUCAAGCUGGUGGCGGUCACUAACACCGAGCUCAACAGUUCACUAGUGGAGUUGAAGCAAGUCAGGAAGGAGUUGGACGACGCCAGGAAGAGGAUAGCACAACUGGAGGCUCAGAUCACUGGAGUGCCACCGCCUUCACCUAAGUGGCCUGCUUUCUCUCCGCCUCGUGAAGAUCCAGCCUAUGGGGAUGCCAGCGCUCGUACUACUAUAGAAUAGGAGCUAUUCCCAACUUAGUAAUAAAUAGUGCCACGCUUAGAACGUUAGCACGAUCUUAGCUAUGCGAGUUUAGUGCUUAGUCGUUUGCUUAGUGUGCUUUGCUUGGUCUGUGUGAGAACUUGAUUUAUUAUUGUGUUAAUGGUGUGAUUUGGUUCUUUGUAAUGAGUGCGAUGAGUGGUGGGUUAUGUCCACAACGCAUCAAGAAUAAGAUUAAGUAUUAAGUUUAUUUGAGAUAGUUUGGGUUAUCAUCGGUCUCCUUUAUUUGUGCCUUAUCAUAUUUCAUAUCGCUUUAUCUUAUCAGUCUUACACUAUCAUGAUCAGUUCAUUAUCUAUAUAUUACAUCUGUUGUGAGUACUGUGUUUAUCAACUGAGACAGGAAAGUAACUAUCAGCUGGGUCAUACUUUGGGGAAAGAUUAUUACAUUGCAGUUUACAUUACAGCUCAGGUUUACACAUAUGAACUACAUCUGAUUUUAUUAUUUCUAUAUAUCAGAUGCCUGUCCACACCAGGAGCAACACCAAUGGAGGAAACAAUGGACAGUCCAACAACAACAACAAUGAUCAGAGCGGGACUAAUGCCAACCCUCCUCCUCCGGGGAAUCAGCCCAUGACCAUAGAACAGUUGAUGACUAUGCAGACUCAACUGAUGCAAGGGAUGGCUCAUAUUAUGAACCACAUGCAGCAGAACCAAAACCAGAAUCAGAACCAACACCAAGGAGGUAACAACGCGUUUGCCCCACCUAGGGACAAGCGUGGAGAGUUCAUGAAGGGACGUCCACCGUUCUUCUCUCACUCAGCUGAUCCUAUGCAAGCUGAGGAUUGGCUUAAAGCUGUGGAGAAGCAGCUGGUUAUUGCUCAGUGCAAUGACAGGGAGAAAGUUCUGUAUGGCUCUGGGCAGCUUCAGGGAGCCGCACAGGACUGGUGGGAUUCAUAUUGCUUUGCACAUCAGGACCCGGAUACUAUCACUUGGGAUGAGUUCAAGGUCGCCUUCAAGACUCAUCAUGUGCCUGCUGGAUUGGUGAAGUUGAAGAAGAAGGAGUUUCUGUCUCUGAAGCAGGGCUCCAUGACAGUUUGUGAGUACCGUGACAAGUUCACUCAGUUGUCGCGGUAUUGCCCCAAUGAAGUGGAGAAUGAUGAAGACAAGUAAGAUCACUUUCUGGAAGGUUUGAAUGAUGGUCUGUCCUACAUGAUGUCGAAUGUCAAGUACGCCAGUUUCCAGGAGAUGGUGGACAGGGCAUUGGUGCUUGAGAGCAAGCGCCGUAAGAUGGAGGACAAGAAGAGGAAGUAUAACUCCUCUCAGCAGCAGGCUGGUGCCAGUUGUCCCCGCUACAACAACCAGCAGGGCCCUCAGUCUCGCCCUGCAUAUCAGUCAGGCAACCAAGGACAGCAACAGAAUGUCAGGUACAGCAACCAGAGUCAGCAGACGAGCCAGCGCUACAACAACAACCAAGUGCAGCGCCCCGCUAGUCAGGCGCCUCGCCAGAAUGCCCCAGCACCAUCAGGCUCUCGCCAGAACUCCAACACUGUCCCAAUGAAGCCCAAUGUCAAUCCCGCCCCCACUGGAAAUACCUGCUUCAAGUGUGGUCAGCUUGGACACUACGCGAAUGCGUGCCCCCAGAGGCAGAGGAAUAACAACAACAAUGGAAGGGUGAAUCAUGUGAAGUUGGAAACUGCGGAGGAGGCUCCAGAUGUGGUAGUUGGUAUGUUUCUUGUCAACUCUUGCCCAGCUACUGUUUUGUUUGAUACUGGAGCAUCACAUACUUUUAUAAGUGCACAGUUUGUUGAGAAACAUAGUAUAGCCACCUGUACCAUGCAAAACACCAUGAUAGUUAAAUCACCUGGGGGAAAGAUGCAUACUAAUACUUUGUGUCCAGAAAUGAGCAUUAAAAUAAGGGGGGUAGAUUUUCCUGUCAAUCCCAUUGUGUUGGGUUCAGAAGGUUUAGAUAUGAUAUUGGGAAUGAGAUGGUUGUCCAAGUUUAAGGGUACUAUUCAGUGUGCUGAGAAGACAGUGGCUCUAACCGCACCUAGUGGGAACAGAAUUGAGGUCAGAGUUUCUAUGUCACCUAGUAGUGAAGGAACAAUUUACCAUCUGAGCAGUGGGUCAGUAGAAGAUAUUCGAGUUGUGAAAGAGUUCCCUGAUGUGUUCCCAGAAGAUUUGCCAGGUAUGCCACCUGAACGUGAGAUUGAAUUUGUUAUUGAUUUAUUACCUGGUACUGCACCCAUAUCUAAGAGACCUUAUAGAAUGGCUGUUAAUGAGUUAGAAGAACUUAAGAAACAACUAAGGGAGUUACAGUCUAAGGGGUAUAUCCGUCCUAGUUCCUCACCUUGGGGAGCUCCAGUUAUCUUUGUAGAGAAGAAGGAUGGGACACAGAGGAUGUGUGUAGACUAUAGAUCUUUGAAUGAGGUCACCAUUAAGAAUAAAUACCCUUUGCCUAGAAUAGAGGACUUGUUUGACCAGUUGAAAGGAGCUUGUGUGUUUUCCAAAAUAGAUCUGAGGUCAGGUUAUCACCAGUUGAGGAUUAAACCUAGUGAUAUUCCAAAGACUGCUUUCACCACCAGAUAUGGACUUUAUGAGUAUACAGUUAUGUCUUUUGGAUUGACGAAUGCUCCAGCUUACUUUAUGUAUCUGAUGAAUAAAGUUUUUAUGGAGUAUUUGGAUAAGUUUGUGGUAGUCUUUAUUGAUGAUAUCUUGAUCUACUCCAAGACUGAGGAAGAACAUGAGGAACACCUGAGACUUGUGUUGCAGAAAUUGAGGGAACAUCAGCUCUAUGCCAAGCUGAGUAAGUGUGACUUCUGGUUGAAGGAAGUGUCUUUUCUUGGUCAUGUCAUUUCAAAUGGUGGAGUUGCUGUUAGUCCGAAGAAUGUGGCAGAUGUUCUUAAGUGGAGUCCACCUCAGACUGUUGGGGAGAUCAGAAGUUUUCUUGGAAUGGCCGGUUACUAUCGGAGAUUCAUUGAGGGAUUUUCCAGUAUUGCCAAGCCCAUGACUGCUUUGUUAGAGAAGGGUAAGCCAUUCAAGUGGAAUGAACAGUGUCAGGCUAGUUUUGAGGAAUUGAAGAAGAGGUUGACUACUGCACCAAUUUUGACUUUGCCAGAUGUGACUAAAAGCUUUUCCAUCUAUUGUGAUGCUUCCAAGCAAGGUUUGGGAUGUGUACUGAUGCAAGAGGGAAAGGUGAUUGCCUAUGCAUCUAGACAGUUGAAGAAACACGAGGUGAAUUAUCCAACUCAUGAUCUUGAGUUAGCAGCUGUGGUCCAUUCACUGAAGAUCUGGAGACACUAUAUUCUGGGUCAUAAGUGUGAUAUCUACACGGAUCACAAGAGUCUGAAAUACAUCUUCACUCAGAAUGACUUAAACCUGAGACAGAGAAGAUGGUUAGAGUUGAUCAAGGACUAUGAACUGGAGAUUCAUUACCACCCUGGCAAAGCUAAUGUAGUUGCUGACGCUCUGAGUAGAAAGAGUCAAGUGAAUAUGAUGGAAGCCACGGAGUUACCGAUGGAACUACUGGCAGAAUUUGAGUAUCUCAAUUUGGGGUUUGUUGCUAAUACCCAAGGUACUUCCAUGGACAUAGAACCAACUCUUGAGCAAGAGAUCAGAAAAGGUCAGAAAGAGGAUGAAGAGAUCAAAAAGAUACUUAAGCUGAUAGAGGAAGGUAGAGCACCUGGAUUCAAAGUUGAUCAAGAAGGGAUUGUUUGGCACAAGGACCGAUUGUGUGUCCCUGAUAUUCAGAGAAUUAAGGAUGUGAUACUGAAGGAGUGCCAUGAAUCUGCUUACUCUAUUCAUCCAGGAGGUACUAAGAUGUAUCAGGACUUGAAGCAAAACUAUUGGUGGCCUGGUAUGAAGAAAGAUAUUGGUGAAUAUGUGGCAUUGUGUGACACCUGUCAGAGAGUGAAAGCGGAACAUCAGAGGCCAGCAGGGUUGUUGCAACCGUUGAAGAUACCUGAGUGGAAGUGGGAUGAGAUCAGCAUGGACUUCAUAGUGGGAUUGCCGAAAACUCAACGAGGUUAUGACUCAAUAUGGGUUGUAGUAGAUCGAUUGACCAAGGUAGCUCAUUUCAUACCGGUCAGAACUAACUACCGUGGGGAUCAGUUAGCAGAAAAGUAUAUGGAACGGAUUGUGUGUCUGCAUGGAGUUCCUAAGAGGAUUGUGUCUGAUAGAGGUACACAGUUUACAUCAAAGUUUUGGGAGAAGCUACAUGAUGCUUUGGGAACCGAGCUCAGAUUCAGUACUGCUUAUCACCCUCAGUCCGAUGGUCAGACAGAGAGAGUCAACCAGAUAGUAGAGGAUAUGCUCAGGUCUUGUGCUUUACAGUAUGGGGAUAGUUGGGAUGCUAGUUUGCCCUACGCUGAGUUCUCCUAUAACAACAGUUAUCAGACUAGUCUUAAGAUGACUCCUUUUGAAGCCUUGUAUGGAAGGAAGUGUAGGACUCCAUUGUUCUGGUACCAGACUGGUGAAAGGCAAGUGUUCGGCCCUGAUUCAUUGAGAAUAGCCGAAGAAAGAGUUCAAUUCAUCCGACAGACUCUGAAGGCAGCUCAGUCUAGACAGAAGAGUUAUGCUGAUGUGAGACGAAGGGAACUUGUAUUUCAGGCAGGUGAUUAUGUAUACCUGAAAGUGUCUCCGAUGAGAGGUCUAAAGAGGUUCAAUGUUAAGGGAAAGCUAGCUCCAAGAUACGUUGGUCCUUUCAAGAUCUUGGAAAGAAAAGGAGAAGUGGCUUAUGAGCUUGAAUUGCCUGCCAGCUUAUCCAAUGUGCACAAUGUCUUCCAUGUCUCCCAAUUCAAGAAAUGUUUGAGAGUGCCUGAGGAACAGUUGCCACUAGAGGAACUGGAUUUACAGGAGGAUCUAACUUAUGAAGAGAGUCCUAUCAAAGUUCUGGACACAGCGGAGAGAAUUACCAGGAGUAAAACUAUCAGGAUGUGUAAAGUACAAUGGAAACACCAUUCCGAGAAAGAAGCAACCUGGGAAAGAGAAGAUGAUCUAAUAUCCAAAUACCCUCAGUUAUUCCCUGGUUCAUCCUAAUCUCGAGGACGAGAUUCUUUUAAGGGGGGUAGGUUUAUAACACUCCAAAUUUUUGAAUUUCAAAUUCAGUUCAAAUUUGAUUUAAUUUUGGCUUAGUUUGAAUUUUUAGAGAAUUAUUAAAUAAUUUACAAAAUUAAUUAAAAUAAAAUAUAAGGUAGAAACGUGUUUGAUUUUUGCAUUCAUGCUGCUGCAUAAUUUUGAUUGAUUUGAUUUAUUUAUUUUGCUGAUGCUUGUUUUGUUUUGUUUUGGAGCAAGAAAAUUUAAAAAAAAAAAGAGAAAGGGGAGAGCCCCCGCCUGGGCCGACUUCCGGCCCAGCACCCCGCGCCCCUCCCCUCUCCCCUCAUGCCCAAGUGGGCCGCGGCCCAAGCCGCACGGCAGCGGCCGGCCCCGCACUCACCCCCCGCUGCUCCCGCCCGCAGUCGCUGACGCGUGGGCCCCGCGAGUGGGACCCACCGCCUUCUUCCACCUCCGGCCGGGACGGACUCGGGGCGCAACCGACGCCCCGGUUUCCGCGCGCGGCGCCCCCAAUCCGAGCCGCACGCGCCCCAAGGAUCGCCGUGCCUUUAAAUAGCCCCCAGCCGCCUGUGGCAGAACCACCCUAAUUAUAUGGCCCACAUGCACUUGACAUUGUCCUUAAGACCUCUGACUACUGCACAUGAGAGUCAUAUAACUUGGAUAGUCUGUCGGGUGCCCUCGGAGGACCCCGAAUCAUCCACAUUUUAACUCGUACAGGAUCAACAUGGAGUUACCACAACAUUACAACAUUUGUUACAAAAAUAACUUACAUCAGAGUGCGGAAGAUUUAUAACUUAAUUUACAACAUAUGAUGAAGUAUAAACUUAACUAAAUUUCCAAAAGGUGUAUAGAGUAGCGGAAGCAUCUUAGGUGAAGCUUCUAAGGUAGAAGAGGUGGAUAAAUCAUGUCGCGCCCACCGACACGACCACCAUUAGCAGACUAAGUCAGCACCUGCAACAGGGGUUAUAAAACCCUGAGUACAAAAGUACUCAACAAGACUUAACCGACUAGAAAAGAGGUGAAGACUCAGGUAUGCAGGCUAUAGGGAUUCAAGGUAAAGCUUUAUCAAGAUAAAGCAUUUCUUUUGCAUAAAAGCUUACUAAGAUUAAACCUACUUUCAAGUUUUAACUCAAGGUUAUCAUUUAUGACUAACCAAAACUAUUAUCAAACUUGCAUAAUCAUACCACAUCUUUCUUAUACCAAAGAUUCACUUGUUACUACGAUGAUGGUGUGAGGAUUGAGGCUCCAUAUCCGAGGAAACACGGCGAUUCGAAUCGAUUAAACCCAGCUGGGGAUUCAGUACCACACGACAUAUGUAGAACUUAAUCUUGCAUAUGUCAACCUGUUUCUAUAGAUCCUCCCAUACAAGAACGGGUCCAGCGUCACCCGAGAGUACAGUACACCACCAUCCUACAGCCAAUCUAGAUGUUUCCCGGUCAUCUCAGAUCCGUAAGGUGGGUACACGCUACUCUCGCCAUCUUUCCACUCCCAGUACGCGGUUAGCCGUUCUCAAGUAUCGGAAUAGCUAUAGGUAAGGCUUACCGCCGCAUGUGGGCUGUACUCAAAGGUCUCAAUCACAACAGGCCAAUCAACGGUACGGUCCUUAAUCGACUCAGUUGGAGACACUACUUUAAGACUCCAUUCUUAAAGCAAGUCCACCGACCGGUCUCAAGUUUAAACAUUAUUAACCAUAACAGUAUACCACAACGACCCUUCAAACUCUUUCAUUUGAAAACUUAUCUAAUAAGCAGGACUAAGCAUACUAAACAUUUUCAUAAAGCAAGUAUCAAGGUAAAUAUUGAAAUCAUCAAGGUAGAUAAUGCAGCAAAUAGGAUUCACUCAACUCCUAUUCACCUAAUGCAUCAUAUUAACUCAAGUGAUAUAGAUAACUUUAUGAAAAUACAAGGAUAGGGUUUAAUGUCCGGGGCUUGCCUUGGUCGGAGGGGACGUUCGGCAACUCAACAACACUCGAAGGAUCCACAAACUCGGAAGAAACCCACUGGGGAUCAGAUUCUUCCGGAGCGUACUCUAUACGUAAAAGUGCAUAUGCAUGAUUAUGAUAUACUCAUGGCAUGAUAAAGACAGGUUACAUGUUCUUGGAUGACAACCAUAAGCAUGACUAUCUCAAGUACAAUUUACCUUCAUGAUAGAGAAACAAACUAAUCUAGCUAUCAAAGCAUGGAUUAUUACUAAGCAAAUUUUAUCAUCUUCAUUAAGCAAUGUUGUGUAGUUAUUAAGCAACAAAGAUCAUUUACAUGAAAGAAUCCUUAACCAGGGAGAAUGUUAUGCUAAGUGACCACUGGUUGUCAAACAAUCUAAAAUAUCACCCAAAUCCUAAAGGGAUUAAUUAUUUCUAUUUCUUUUAUAAGCAUUUAAAUAGCUUUAUUAAGAAACAGAGCAUACUUAAUCAAAAAUAACUGAAAAUAUUUCUGAAGCUAGGUAAUAUUAACACAAGUUCACAUAUUAAAUUUCAUGCCAUUUGAAUAAGUAUAGCAGUUUCCAUGAAAAAGAUAAAUUUCCAUCACAAGAAAGCAUGUAACAACAAGAUAAAUAAGAAACUCGACAUUUUCUACAAACACAUAGCUAAAUUAUGUAUCUAUAUGAUAUAACAAUUUCAUAUAAAGGUAGAGGAACCAUAUUUUACAUUUAUUCCUUUUUAGUUUAAUUGUAAAUUAUUUAAUAAGCACUACACAAGAUAAAUCAAUAACUUAAUCAUAUGUCAUCUACUGAACAUGAAAUUUUUACUGCAACAUUCAAAUAACAUCAUGAGAACACCAUAAAAAUUUCAGGGCAAUAGGAUCUACACAGAAUAAGAUAUGAAUUUCUCCCUUUUAAACAUAAUUAAAAGGCAUAAAUCAUAACCAAUUAUUUUACUACAAAACAUGAUCAGUUUCAUAUUUUUAAUAAAAACUAGACAUCUCAAGGAGCACAACAAAAUUUGGUUCACCAAAAUUGGAGUUGCCAAACUCCAGAUAUGAAUUUUCAAAGAUCUAACAAAACAUCUACAAACAGGUCCUGAUGGCACUAUUCACCCGAGUCACGAACUUCGCAGUUAGACCCUUGCCUUGUGUCGAAUUCCAACGCGAAGUCCCUGGCGCGAAAUGGAAACAGAGGAGGCGCGCGGGAAAGCCGGAUUUCCGACCGGCGACCGUCUGUUGGCGACAAGGGAGAGGUACUGGAGCAUGGUUGGGCCUAUGUGCACCCUCUGGUGACCACGGCUUGCUGCGAGAAGGCCUGAGGUGGCAUGGCCACGGUGAGGUGCUCCUCGGCGGCGCUUUUGGCCGGAAUGGAGGAAGAACGGACGUAGCCGGGGCUAGAGAUGGUUAGAGCUUGCAUCAAGGGGGCGCGAAUGGUUGCUGAGACCUUGGUAAAGCUGCUGGGGUGCUCUGGUGGCUUAGAAAGGAAGUGGGAGAGGUGAAUUUUUGCGGGCGCAGGGAGCUCACCGGCGUUGAGCGAAAGGAAGAAGAGAGGGUUGCAGUGAGGUGCGAGCCAUGGGAAGAAGUGGAUGAGGACGCCAGGAGCUCGGCCACUUCACCGCGACCGUAAGCAGGCGAGCAGCUGCGUGGCUGGGUGCGUGGCGGCGUCCUGAGCAGCAGUGUCUGCCGCGGCGGCAGUGCAGCCCGUGAUCCUCAUCGGUUACUGUAGCAGGCUUUAUCCAACCAGUUUUGUGGUUUUGCAAAAUUCGUCCAAAUUUUGAACUGAAGACAAAAUUCCACCAAAACAAAAGUUAUUCAGAAUUUUACAAACUACAAAUCUUCUUUUGGUGACCAAAGCCAAUUCUGGGUGGAAAAUGACGAAUUUGACAAAACAGUUUGAAUUUCAAAUCCCAAAUUGGGGAAAUUCCAAAUUUUGAAUUGGAGCAGAUUAGAAUUUCCAAAAUUACUUUUGAUUUUCCAAAACAACUUGAAAAACUCCCAACAUGAAAGUUGUUCAACUUUUCAAGCCCUACAACUCUCAUGUUGACCAUUUUUCAAAAUUCCAAACAGAUUUUGAAUUGGAGAUUUAAGUUUGAAAAGGGGACACUUUCCGGAAAUCUGUAUUUUCAAAAUUACUUUGAAUUUUGUACUGAAACUUCAAAAACUCAAAACACCAAAGUUGUACAUCUUGACAAGAUCUACAACUUUGCUUUUGAACUCAACUUCAAAUUUUGCUUAGUUUUUAAAUUACACAAAAGGGGACAAAUCUAGGGUUUCCCCCCUAAGCCUUUCGGAAAAACUUUCACCCAAGGUUUUUAAAUUCCAAAACAAACAUCCAUACAUAAAAUAAACACACUUUACUUCCUAAACACAUUCAACCAAAAUAACCUUAUUUUAAGUUGAUGCAUAAUAAUGUGCUCAACAAUUAUGCUUUGCAAUGCUUAUGAUGACAUGAUCCAGUUUUAGUAUUCGUAACAUCAGGGAUGUUACAGCCCUUCCCCCUUAAAGAAAUCUCGUCCCGAGAUUUCCAGGGUACUAAAACCCGUGGGGUUAAGUAAUGGAAAAGGAAAUGUGUCAAGCACAUUAACUUCUGAGAAGUUCAUAAAACAAUUACAAUUGGUCCGAGAAUUACAACUAAGAUCAACAGAAUGUUGUAAUCAAUAAGGAAUGUUAGAGAAUUCAUAAGAAGAUAUGAAUCUCCAAAUGAGCUUCCAAGGAGAAUGAAAGCACACUAACUGUAGACUAUAGCGGAGCAUGACCAGAGAUCCCGAUGUUUAACGAGCACCUAGUAGUAUUUCCUUAUGGCUGCAGUCCACAGGAGACUACAAGGUUCGACGCUAUAACGUGAUCACGGAUCAUGGUACCUACUAUAGAGUACGGUUAUAAUAGCUUUCAAUGACCUAUGUUGGUUAUCUAAGUCAGGGGUUUUAGGUAAUUCCAAAGAGAUAUGGGCAUGGAUUCCCAUAAUAUUGUUCAAAGAGUGAGGUCACCUAAGUUGUGGGUCUAUAAGGGAUCAUGAUCAUAGACUUUGAUAACAGCGAGCGCCCGGCAGUAUUUCCUUAUGGUCGCGAGCCAUAGGAGACCCCAGGUUUCGGCGUUGUUACCUAAGUUAUGGGUCAUGGUACCUUAAGAGGACACAAUCAUAGUGACAUUCAAUCAACAGAAAUGUUGACAAAUGACAUCAAGGAGGUAGCAUGUGUCCGAAUUAGAUGAAAUCAAGGAAGGUCACAUGCAUAACAAAUGAAUCAAGGAUUAGGAUCUUAUGGAGUAAAAGAUUAUCAAUCAGUUAACGAAACCUGGUACAUGAUGAGAUUCAUCAAUAAAACAGCUAUACCGAAUAAUAACUGUUUUGAAGCAUAAGGAGGGGCUUUUAUGUAUCAUUAUAUUUGUCAUGUUAUGCUUGAUAUGCAAUAUGCUCGCCUAUACGUCUUUACAACGUUAGCUAGGAGAUAAUUGCUUAUAUAGGGCAUACUUUAUACACUAUCUUUAUUGCUUCAAAAGGGAGGCUGCAAGACUGUUGACAAAGCAUUGUUGGAGUAGUUUGAUUCUUCACUUGGCUUGUCGAAGACUUGAAGCCUCUUUUAAUGUCUUCUAUUUGAGUCAGCAGAAAGUCUUCGUAGAACCCGAACAGCAAGCAUAAGAAAAGUUAAGGAAUAUUUAUAAGUUGUUAUCCUCAAAAACUUUUAAUUUGUAAAUUUCUUUUGAACUUUUCACAAUUAAUGUUGUAGAAGAUCCAUGUAUGAGCUCUGAUACCAGCUGUGGCAGAACCACCCUAAUUAUAUGGCCCACAUGCACUUGACAUUGUCCUUAAGACCUCUGACUACUGCACAUGAGAGUCAUAUAACUUGGAUAGUCUGUCGGGUGCCCUCGGAGGACCCCGAAUCAUACACAUUUUAACUCGUACAGGAUCAACAUGGAGUUACCACAACAUUACAACAUUUGUUACAAAAAUAACUUACAUCAGAGUGCGGAAGAUUUAUAACUUAAUUUACAACAUAUGAUGAAGUAUAAACUUAACUAAAUUUCCAAAAGGUGUAUAGAGUAGCGGAAGCAUCUUAGGUGAAGCUUCUAAGGUAGAAGAGGUGGAUAAAUCAUGUCGCGCCCACCGACACGACCACCAUUAGCAGACUAAGUCAGCACCUGCAACAGGGGUUAUAAAACCCUGAGUACAAAAGUACUCAACAAGACUUAACCGACUAGAAAAGAGGUGAAGACUCAGGUAUGCAGGCUAUAGGGAUUCAAGGUAAAGCUUUAUCAAGAUAAAGCAUUUCUUUUGCAUAAAAGCUUACUAAGAUUAAACCUACUUUCAAGUUUUAACUCAAGGUUAUCAUUUAUGACUAACCAAAACUAUUAUCAAACUUGCAUAAUCAUACCACAUCUUUCUUAUACCAAAGAUUCACUUGUUACUACGAUGAUGGUGUGAGGAUUGAGGCUCCAUAUCCGAGGAAACACGGCGAUUCGAAUCGAUUAAACCCAGCUGGGGAUUCAGUACCACACGACAUAUGUAGAACUUAAUCUUGCAUAUGUCAACCUGUUUCUAUAGAUCCUCCCAUACAAGAACGGGUCCAGCGUCACCCGAGAGUACAGUACACCACCAUCCUACAGCCAAUCUAGAUGUUUCCCGGUCAUCUCAGAUCCGUAAGGUGGGUACACGCUACUCUCGCCAUCUUUCCACUCCCAGUACGCGGUUAGCCGUUCUCAAGUAUCGGAAUAGCUAUAGGUAAGGCUUACCGCCGCAUGUGGGCUGUACUCAAAGGUCUCAAUCACAACAGGCCAAUCAACGGUACGGUCCUUAAUCGACUCAGUUGGAGACACUACUUUAAGACUCCAUUCUUAAAGCAAGUCCACCGACCGGUCUCAAGUUUAAACAUUAUUAACCAUAACAGUAUACCACAACGACCCUUCAAACUCUUUCAUUUGAAAACUUAUCUAAUAAGCAGGACUAAGCAUACUAAACAUUUUCAUAAAGCAAGUAUCAAGGUAAAUAUUGAAAUCAUCAAGGUAGAUAAUGCAGCAAAUAGGAUUCACUCAACUCCUAUUCACCUAAUGCAUCAUAUUAACUCAAGUGAUAUAGAUAACUUUAUGAAAAUACAAGGAUAGGGUUUAAUGUCCGGGGCUUGCCUUGGUCGGAGGGGACGUUCGGCAACUCAACAACACUCGAAGGAUCCACAAACUCGGAAGAAACCCACUGGGGAUCAGAUUCUUCCGGAGCGUACUCUAUACGUAAAAGUGCAUAUGCAUGAUUAUGAUAUACUCAUGGCAUGAUAAAGACAGGUUACAUGUUCUUGGAUGACAACCAUAAGCAUGACUAUCUCAAGUACAAUUUACCUUCAUGAUAGAGAAACAAACUAAUCUAGCUAUCAAAGCAUGGAUUAUUACUAAGCAAAUUUUAUCAUCUUCAUUAAGCAAUGUUGUGUAGUUAUUAAGCAACAAAGAUCAUUUACAUGAAAGAAUCCUUAACCAGGGAGAAUGUUAUGCUAAGUGACCACUGGUUGUCAAACAAUCUAAAAUAUCACCCAAAUCCUAAAGGGAUUAAUUAUUUCUAUUUCUUUUAUAAGCAUUUAAAUAGCUUUAUUAAGAAACAGAGCAUACUUAAUCAAAAAUAACUGAAAAUAUUUCUGAAGCUAGGUAAUAUUAACACAAGUUCACAUAUUAAAUUUCAUGCCAUUUGAAUAAGUAUAGCAGUUUCCAUGAAAAAGAUAAAUUUCCAUCACAAGAAAGCAUGUAACAACAAGAUAAAUAAGAAACUCGACAUUUUCUACAAACACAUAGCUAAAUUAUGUAUCUAUAUGAUAUAACAAUUUCAUAUAAAGGUAGAGGAACCAUAUUUUACAUUUAUUCCUUUUUAGUUUAAUUGUAAAUUAUUUAAUAAGCACUACACAAGAUAAAUCAAUAACUUAAUCAUAUGUCAUCUACUGAACAUGAAAUUUUUACUGCAACAUUCAAAUAACAUCAUGAGAACACCAUAAAAAUUUCAGGGCAAUAGGAUCUACACAGAAUAAGAUAUGAAUUUCUCCCUUUUAAACAUAAUUAAAAGGCAUAAAUCAUAACCAAUUAUUUUACUACAAAACAUGAUCAGUUUCAUAUUUUUAAUAAAAACUAGACAUCUCAAGGAGCACAACAAAAUUUGGUUCACCAAAAUUGGAGUUGCCAAACUCCAGAUAUGAAUUUUCAAAGAUCUAACAAAACAUCUACAAACAGGUCCUAAUGGCACUAUUCACCCGAGUCACGAACUUCGCAGUUAGACCCUUGCCUUGUGUCGAAUUCCAACGCGAAGUCCCUGGCGCGAAAUGGAAACAGAGGAGGCGCGCGGGAAAGCCGGAUUUCCGACCGGCGACCGUCUGUUGGCGACAAGGGAGAGGUACUGGAGCAUGGUUGGGCCUAUGUGCACCCUCUGGUGACCACGGCUUGCUGCGAGAAGGCCUGAGGUGGCAUGGCCACGGUGAGGUGCUCCUCGGCGGCGCUUUUGGCCGGAAUGGAGGAAGAACGGACGUAGCCGGGGCUAGAGAUGGUUAGAGCUUGCAUCAAGGGGGCGCGAAUGGUUGCUGAGACCUUGGUAAAGCUGCUGGGGUGCUCUGGUGGCUUAGAAAGGAAGUGGGAGAGGUGAAUUUUUGCGGGCGCAGGGAGCUCACCGGCGUUGAGCGAAAGGAAGAAGAGAGGGUUGCAGUGAGGUGCGAGCCAUGGGAAGAAGUGGAUGAGGACGCCAGGAGCUCGGCCACUUCACCGCGACCGUAAGCAGGCGAGCAGCUGCGUGGCUGGGUGCGUGGCGGCGUCCUGAGCAGCAGUGUCUGCCGCGGCGGCAGUGCAGCCCGUGAUCCUCAUCGGUUACUGUAGCAGGCUUUAUCCAACCAGUUUUGUGGUUUUGCAAAAUUCGUCCAAAUUUUGAACUGAAGACAAAAUUCCACCAAAACAAAAGUUAUUCAGAAUUUUACAAACUACAAAUCUUCUUUUGGUGACCAAAGCCAAUUCUGGGUGGAAAAUGACGAAUUUGACAAAACAGUUUGAAUUUCAAAUCCCAAAUUGGGGAAAUUCCAAAUUUUGAAUUGGAGCAGAUUAGAAUUUCCAAAAUUACUUUUGAUUUUCCAAAACAACUUGAAAAACUCCCAACAUGAAAGUUGUUCAACUUUUCAAGCCCUACAACUCUCAUGUUGACCAUUUUUCAAAAUUCCAAACAGAUUUUGAAUUGGAGAUUUAAGUUUGAAAAGGGGACACUUUCCGGAAAUCUGUAUUUUCAAAAUUACUUUGAAUUUUGUACUGAAACUUCAAAAACUCAAAACACCAAAGUUGUACAUCUUGACAAGAUCUACAACUUUGCUUUUGAACUCAACUUCAAAUUUUGCUUAGUUUUUAAAUUACACAAAAGGGGACAAAUCUAGGGUUUUGAAAACUAGGGUUUCCCCCCUAAGCCUUUCGGAAAAACUUUCACCCAAGGUUUUUAAAUUCCAAAACAAACAUCCAUACAUAAAAUAAACACACUUUACUUCCUAAACACAUUCAACCAAAAUAACCUUAUUUUAAGUUGAUGCAUAAUAAUGUGCUCAACAAUUAUGCUUUGCAAUGCUUAUGAUGACAUGAUCCAGUUUUAGUAUUCGUAACAUCAGGGAUGUUACACCGCCGCUCGCGAACCCCCCCUAGAACCCUAGCUUCGAAAUCCGCGCCGCCGCCGUUCUCGCCAAGCUCGCGCCGCCGCCGUUGAUACCGCCGCCGUCGAGCUUCUCUUUGACUUCGUCGUUUCGCGGAGGUGAGCUCGUCAUCGCGCUCGUCGUGACGCGCCGACCCCGCCCGUGCCCUCGGCACGCUCCCCCGUGCCCUGCAGCACCGCCGCCGAAGCUCCGGGCGGCGCCAAUGGCGCCACCGCCGCCGCCGGCCGCCCCUGCGCUCCGCACCGGCGCGCGGUCCACCGUGGACCGCGGCCCUGCGCCCCCGUGCGGCCGGUCCACUGGACCGGGUCCAGGAGGCCGCCCCCCGCCGCUCCGCAGGCGCGGUCCACCAUGGACCGCGGCCUUUCCCCCCCCCCCGCGCCCCGGUCCACAGCACAGUGCCGUGGACCGGCCACUCCCGAGCCGCCACGUGGCCGAGCCGGCCAGCACCCACGCGCGCCCCUGCACGUUUUGCAAAAAGGCCCCUGUUUUUAUUUAAAAUUAACCCGCUAUCCUAUGCAGUUUAAAAUAAUUAUGUUUAUGCCCUUAGUUUUCGCAGUUUAACCCCUGGCUCGGUUAGAAUUUAUUUAUUUAGUCCAAAAUGAGUUUUAAUUCAGUUUUUAAUUAGUUUUAAUUACGAAAAAUAGUUCAGUUUAUCUACAGAAAUGCCAUUCAACUUGUUUUAGCCAUAACUUUUGCAUCGUGACUCCGAUUUAGGUGAUUCUGGUCGCUAUGGUUUCGUUUCGUCGAGUAGAAUACAGUAAUGCAGUUGCUUUUUGUUUCCGCAUGCUUUGGUGUACUGUUUCUGAUUAAGUUUGUUUGCUUGCAUGUAUUGUUCCUAUGAUUGAUGAUUGUCGCGUAUAGCCAACGAGACGUUCGUGAAGGAAGAGGUUCAGGAUCCCGCUGAGUUCGAGCAACCCGACUUCGAUCAAGGCAAGUGCAGACACCGUUUGAUCAUUUUGAACCUACUCAUUAAUGCCAUUUACUUUAUAUGCAUGUGUCCAAUGAAUGCAAACCCUAAGGACAUGACUAGCUUUGCUUAUUAUUCCUUGCUCACCUGGGGUUAUGUAUUUGGGUAGACUAGGCUAUACUAGGUCUGCUUAGCUGCUCUACUCAUCUUAUACACAUGUCUAAACAAGAAUUACUCUCUCUCUACUUAACUUGAUGCUUAAACUGUGCUGAAUCUUUGGUCACUGCGGUGAUGGCGAUGUUGGAUGCUUGCGAGCAUCGUGAUGAUGGUGGUGACAGGGGGAGCGGGUACCGUUGGUGGUCCGGUUUGCCGGGCGUACCCGUCUCUGCUCUCCGUAAGGACUUAGUCAGGGAGCGGCCCCCCUGGGACUUACAGUGCAGCUCCAAGCUAUAUGGCUCUGGCUUGACUAAUUAGCAGGACCUCCACUAGUAGGGUGUUACUUUCCGGGUAGGCGUGAGGAAGUAACUUGGGUAAUGAAUAUUAAGUUGUCGGUUGAUCGGUACGCCAUGGCUAUGGGUAUCGACUGCCGAGCGCCCCGACAAAAACUUGCGAGUGGCAUCCUAUUAGUUGGACCCUGUGAAAGGUCUCGUAGUGAGACCCUGCCUGCUCACCUUGGAAGUGUUUUGGGGAGUCGCGACCCCGGGCAAAUGGGAAUCACGACUUGGAGUGAACGUGCACACCUCUGCAGAGUGUAAAACUGAUAUAUCAGCCGUGCUCACGGUCACGAGCGGCCCAGACCCUCACUUGAUGAGCAAAUUGGAUUCACUGGUUACUUGGAGAUGGACCUUGGCGAGGUUGCUACCUCGUGUUUUGGCGGAAUGGCUAUUCCGUGAUGGCAGGAUUGCUAUCCUGUGGUAAUAAUUGGGGUUAAUCCCUGGAUUACUAUAAUAGUUAGGAUAGUCAUUUAAAAGAUGCUAAUUACUACUUACACUAAUUAAGGGUUGGGUUUAUACUACUCAUAUUUAGUAAUAGGUUGUUCUAGUAAUUGUUAUAAUUAAAAGCGAUCAACUAAAAUGCUACCGCAGUCAAACCAAGUCAACUUUACCUUGUUUUAAGCCUUGCAUGUCAUUACUUUCCGUCUGUGCUUGCUGAGUUCGACAUGAGCUCACCCUUGCUAUAAUCAUUAAAGGUUGCUCGGACGAUCAGGAGUACAAUUGCGAUUUCCCUGAGGACUACCCUGAGUCUCCUGGUUGUUAGGCUCGUGUGGUUCUGCCGUCGACCUUCCUGUGGCAAGGUGGUCCUGCUACGUCGGCGUUUAGUUUUCCCUUUAUUUAUGGAACAGUUUAGUUUAUGUUUCCCCUCCGCACUUUGAUAAACAUUUGGCUUGUAAUAAUGGUACUUUUACUCUCAUUUAUGUAAUUCGUUUGAACACUGUGUUUUGUACCAUUGAUGAUGUCGGUCCAUGUGUGUGAAUUUGAGAUCCUGGCGCACAUGUGAUUUGGCACCCGAAUGCUCUUUUACAUCCGGGUGUGACAUCGCGAGAUAAAUCUUUUAAGCCUAGUUAGUCCAUAAUUGAACAAUAUUUGCCAAAAAAACGAAAGUGCUACAGUAUCCGAAAACUUUUCAUUUUGCCAACUAAACAAGGCCUAUGCUACAUGGGCAUCACCACUCUUUGCUUGUACCGUCUUGUUCGUUUGAGCUUAUCAGCCGAAUCUGUCAGUCAUUCAACAAUGUUUUUCUCUCAUAAUAAGCCAACAAUACUUUUUGUCAUAUCUUAUUAGCCAAACAAACAAGGCUUGCAAAAUUUCUCUGUUACAGACAAAAGGUUCUGUGAACUAUAAAUCAACAAUGUAGCAUUUAUAUACCUUAUUAGAUGGCCCCUUUCAAUGAGAACACAAGUUUUAUAGACUUAGAGCAACUCCAACGGCUUGGCAAAAUUUAGUAGUCAGAUUCUAUUUGUUUAGCAACUUUGUCAAAUAGAAAACUUUUGAAAAAGAAGAGGUCUAUAACAGCUUUGCUAUUUUACAAAAUUAGAUAGCUAAUGUCACUGGUUGGCUAUAUAUAGCCACCGAAAAUCAAGAGAUAGCCAAGUUUGUAUUUUACAAAACCAGAUAGCACAUCUGUUCGAACCACCUACAUUUUAGGAGCGGAUCUGCAGCCCAGGCCUAGUCGUUGGCCCAAUAACAUCAUAUAUCCUAUGUAAACUUUUAGCCCAACAAGGCAACAACCAAGGCCCAACACAUAACUGGCCUUAGCUCCAAGGCCUUGUUUACUUCCAGCCCAAAAUCUAAAAAAAAAUUCAAAAUUCUUCAUCAAAUUGAAUUUUUAGACAAAUUCUUCAACAACCAAGGCCCAACGCAUGGAGUAUUAAAUAUAGACAAAAAUAAAAACUAAUUACACAGUUUGGUCAAAAUUUAUAAGACAAAUCUUUUAUGCAUAGUUAGUCCAUAAUUAGACAAUAAUUAUCACAAACAAACGCAAAAUCAUGAACUAAAGACGGCCUAAAACUCUCACCUGUCUGUCUGUCUCCCAGUCCCUACUACGCCACACCAGCGUAUGCCCCACGACCCGCCAUAGUCACGCACGAGGGGAGGGCAGAAGGUGAGGAAUUGGCCGCCACUGACCGCUACGUCGCACGCAGCUGGAUCCCAGAGCCGCCCAUCCCGCCGGCAUCCCCAACUUCUUUCGCCAUUCCGCGUCCACGGCUUCCGCUUCCGUCUUGCUGAUGGUCGCCAGCCCCUAGACACUAGGUAUUUAUUUUCAUCUCAACAUAUGUGUCUGCAACAUUCUUACCAUCCUAGAGGCCUAGUCUUGAGUAAAACCGGGCUCUGCCACCGCUACUUUUUGCUAUGCAAAUUCUAAAACAACCUCCACAACAAGAAUAACCAAGCUGUUGGAGUUACUCUUAAAUGCCAGCAAUUGUAAAAGCUUGUUGUGACACUACUCUGGUAGACAAAGGUAACUUGUGUUUCUUUGCUUCAAUUAGCAGAACCAUUUAAGUACGAUAUGUAGACAGCAGGUGGUGCAUAUCAGUGUUCAUUGUCAGGUGGUUUAGUACAAAGCAUUAUCGAAACUUCACGCACUCCGCAUAACACUGAAGGCAGCAUUGCAGAUGCAAAGUAUUCAUAGCUUGAAGAAUAAAUAUAACCAAGUAAUCAUGAUGCAUAAAUAAUAAUUAGCUAAUUUGGACGCCACCAUCUCAUCAGCUAGAAUGGUUGUAUUAGGGAAAAAAAUUAUACAGUUUGUACCGAGGCUACGAGAUCAAGAGCUUUUUCUGUGCUGAAGCAUAAUGAACCUGGAUGAUGAUAUAGAUCCUUUCAAUCGAGAUGGCAAUGGUUGUCAUACUUGAGUACUCAACUACUCCAGUGGCAAUAGCCAUCUAGAGAAUUGCUAGCAGGUUCACAUGUUCAGUGUCAAGAGAAAUUGCAUGCAAAAAAACCAAAAUAACUCAACUCACCAUGAUGGCAUGAUGCAUAAAUAAUUAGGUACUUUGGAUGCCACAAUCUCAUCAGUUAGAACGGUUGCAUUAGGAAAUUAUAAAAAAUGAAUACAUAUGCAGGUAAUUAGGGAGUUGAGUAUGCCACUGCAAGAGGUACAAUGUUCCAAUAGAAACAGCCUACAGAACCGUACAGAAAUCAAAGAGGUCAUUGUAGUUUGUUAAGGCAACAGAAAGUUCUAGUUUUCUAUACCAUAAAAAAGAAAUCCUGAUUAGCAAACCAUCCAACCAUCAAAUUAACAUGCUGAGAUUAUUAGUACCUUGUUGCAGCCGACCUUGAAACUGAACAGGGUUGAUCUGUUUUUUCAGCAAGCAUGCUCUGACCAUGCACCCGAUAAAAUACUGCGUUUCUGAACAUUAUCUAUUUGAAGAAUUAAUAAUCUGUAGUGCGUCAUCCUCAUGUCGAUAAGAUUAGUUACACAGUAAACCGACUGAUAUUUGGUUGGAUGUACACUGAUCAUGUGUUUGAGCACAGAAGCUGAGAAGCAGAAACAUCGAUGGAUCGAUAAGAUUCUUUGUUGCAGUUGAAAAACCUUCAAAAAUAUUUAAGUCGGUUCCAAACUUAUGAACUGAAUAUAUAUCAUCAACGGGGGAUGAUGUAUAUGCAGAACCAAGCCGUCGUAAGGUACAACUGGUGGUACGUGGCCAACAAAUCUAUGAUCUUGUCAGCCUGUACCAUGUAACAAAAGCAUACGGUGAGCCUCAUAGCAGAGGUUAAAAAAAGACUUGCCAACAAAGUAACAUUCAUGACAGAGCACAGCGGAAAAAGUAGUGUGUAAAUGCCAUGUAUAAGUGGCUUCGUAUUCUUUCCAUUUUUCAUGACUGCUAGCAAAGAAUGGGUUGUAGACUUGGACAACAUUUGUAUUGCGAUAUGGCAGAACAUGCAUGAAGCGGAGGCUCUACACUAAUCUGUAAGUCAGCAAGAAUUGCAUAAACAGAAUCAACAUUUAGGUUAACUGGAAACCGAAGAAUGACAAUUUGUAAGAAGUAUCGUAGCACACCAUGAUCACCGGAUUCAUUGUUUUUUGUGAAAAUUGCCAGGAAAAACAAGGUAUGACCUGUUAUGUCAACAUGGUAUGAAUGGUAACUGUACAAAUGAUGAUUAUGGGAGCAGUUAUUAAGAAAUCAUAAAAACUAAAACAAUAUUAGCGAAAAAAAUACCUGUUUAGGUUCAGCUCGUUGAUCAAACAUACCCGUGCACGUCUCCAUCACAUUCUCGUUGUCGGCAUGCGCUAUCUGGUAAAUUAAGGAUGAGCUAUAAAUGGGUAUCCACAGUUCUUCUCUAGUCUAACCUAUUUAAGUAAAUGAACGAGACAGACACGGUGGUUGGAACCUUGGAGGAAAAUGCAAGAUCGUGUGGCCUAUGGUUUGCGCUUCAAAAUACUACGGCGGCUUGGGUCUGCCAAACAUGAGUCCUCGGGUUCACCCUUCGCCUCCAUUCGGACUGGCAGAAGAGGGUUGCAGAUGCGCCACCAUGGACCAAGCUGCCGUCCAAACUAGAGAAGCUUCUGAGCAUGUUCAGCUGCUCCGUCGUGGUCGAGCUUGGCCAUGGUGCUUCGGCUCGCAUCUGGACUGAUUCUUGGCUGCCAGUCAGGUCAAUUGCGACCUUUGCCCCGCACUUGUUUCGCACCAUUGGUCGUUGCUUUCUAUUGGUAUCCAUCAAGGAGGUGCUCUCCGGUCACCAUUACUGCGUCACAUCUCCGGGGCACACACCACGCCAGUGUUGUAUGAGUUUGUUGAUCUCUGGCAAAAGCUGGAGGACGUCCAGUUGCAACCGCUUGUGAGUGACCGCUUUAAUUGGCGAUGGACGCCACAUAGCACGUACUCAGCGUCCUCAGCAUAACGCUCAUUCUGGGCAUGUCCUCCCUGUUGGGAGCCAAGGAACUUUGGGAAGCUUCCGCGCCGCCAAAGGUGAAACUCUUCUGCUGGUUAGCCCUGCAUGGUUGCAUCUGGACGGUGUUAGGUUGAUCUCUGCCAACCCAAGUCCAAAGAAUGCCCCGGACCCUUGACCUCGUCCUGAUCGGGGGCGUCCAGCCCAAUGACUUGGCUGGUGGGCACCCGUUGCAGUGUAUAAAGAGAGGGUGGGGGCUAGGGCACAAGGUACGACGUUCAUCGCUACAGUGCCGUGAGUCCCCACCCUAACCCUAUACCGAUCCAAAGGGAAGCACUGCCAGCGACGGGAAGUCCGCUGCCGCGACUGCCUUGGACAACGUGCUUCUCUGCGAAGGUAAGGUUAGGUAUCUCUCUCAUCCUCUCGUCCUCACUUCCUCUCUGGAUCCAAGAUGUUCUAUGUUAUUUAUCCCAAAUGGAAAAGCGGAUUCCCCACUGAUCUACACUCUAGACGAUCUAAGAAUAUAACAAAUGGUAUCGGAGCCAAGGUUACCGUCGCGCGAGGCACCGCCCUCGCGCGGGCAAUGUGAGAAGAGAAAGAAAUCGGAUGAAUCCCAAACAUAAUGAAAGAAUCUUAACCUAAAUCCUAACGCUCGAUUAGGGUUUCGGUAAGAACUAACAGAGUAGGGAGGGAUCCGAUACGGUCGGAUCCUACCCCUAACCUUAGAAGGGAAAGAAGACGACGGAGAGGAUGGAUCCUACCUAGGGCCCACCUUGCUGCCGGCCGUCAAUCGACGCCGCGUAGAAGAACCGCGCCGCCUCUUCAUCGGCGUGCGCGUAGCUAAGCUGCACCGUCGUGGAAUUAUUCGACGGACGCGUGCUCGUCCUCGUGGGGAACGCGCUCGCCGACGAAUGACUCCAUGGCGGCGCCGCCGUUUCUCCUCUCCGGUCAUCACCGGCGGCCGGCUCCUGCUGCUGUUUUUUGCGGCGUGGGAGAGAGGAGAGGAACCAGAAAAGAAAAGAAAGGAAGGAAAGAAGGGGAGGGCCAGGGGCGCUCUCCCUCGGCGCUCUCUCCCCACCGGCGCUGAUCGCGGCCGGGAUCCAUGUCUGCCGCCGCGAAAGAAACAGAGGGAAAAAGAAUGGACUAGGGUUUAGGGAAGUCACCGGCUCAGGGUUUUUGUUUGCCGAGAUUGAAGAACGACCGUCGAUCUCGAUCGGACGGUGCAUAACAGCUGGACUGGGGCCCAAGAGGGUAACCGAAUUCCCGGCCCAGGCCCAGGUUGCGGCCUCGGCACGGGGAGAGCCGCUCGCCAUCUCCGCCGAUGGGUCGGCCUGCUUCGCCGACGCACGGGUCCCGGGCUGGGGUGGAAGGUGGCCGCGGGCCACUGCUGUGCCGCAGCAACAAUCGUGCGCAGGGGGAAAGAGAGAAGACCAUGGACUUUUCUCAAAAAAAAAAGAGAGAAGACCAUGGACCGGCCAGCCUGGGCCACGAGCUCUAACUAGGCCAUGGGGAGAGGAAAGGGGAGCGCGAGCUGCUAGAGAUUUUCGUUUUUCUAUUUUCCAGAAGCAAAUUUUGAAUGCAGUUUUGAAUAAAAUUGUAUAGUUUUGAUGCUAUUUUCUGUACAAAUAUUGUCCAAAGAUAAUUUUUCACAGAAAAUAGUAAAGUAUCUUAAAGAGUUUCUAGAAAAUAAAAUUAAGAGUAUACUAAAGUUUUCGCUGCGUACUUAUAAUUAUUUAUUUAUUUUUUCAUUGUUAAAGUCGAAGUAAAGGGAGAGUUUAAUUUUGAAAAAUAAAACAAAUACAGAUUAUUAUAAUAUUGUAAUUGUUCUAACCAAAGUUUAUUAAUAGCAAUAUUAUGAUGUUAUUAUGGUUUUUUGUCAUGCAUUAAUUCUAUUUUUGGCCAAAGGUAAUGUAGAAUUAGUGUAAAAGAAUUAAUUGUAUGUUAUAAUCUAAUGUGGAGAGCAGUUACAAAUAUUCAAUAAAUUAUAAUAUUUUUAUUUUCUGAGCAAAGUUGAUGAUAAAAAUAUUAUAAGUUAUGUUUAAAGUUUAAAUCUCUGAUGAAUUUUGCAUGAAAGUGACCAAUUUGUUAGAAAAUGGAUAAAGAUUUAGAAAUGUUCCUGAAAAUAGAAAAUAGUAGUAUUUUUCACAUUUUCGUUGUAGAGAUUAUUAUGAUACUGUCCUUUUCUGAGCAAAGUUUUCAAUAGUAAUGUCAUGAUAUUGUUUAUCAAUUAUAUAUAGUAAUGUCAUGAUAUUGUUUAUCAAUUAUAUGCAUUAAUUCUAUUUGUACCCAAGGGUGAUUUAGAACUGAUGUAGAAGAAUCAUGACAUUGUUUAUCAGUUAUAUGCAUUAAUUCUAUUUCUGCCCAAAGGUGAUUUAGAAUUGAUGUAGAAUGAUGAUUUAUUCUAUUUCUAUCCAAAGGUGAUUUAGAAUAUAAAAAGAAAGAUUUAAAAUUUUAAUGUGCAUGUCUUUAACCGGGUUAUUUUCAUGCUCCUUAUUUUCAUGCUCAUUAAUAUAAAAGGAUCUGCUACCUCGCUUUCUUAAAAGCAGAGGCUUUGCCUCCUUUGCCUCCUUUUUUUAAAAGAAAAAGGACAUCUUUGGAACUAAACAAGGCCUUACACGAGGAUGAGUCAAUACAACAAUUAUUGUUUAACCAUAAACUAACUAGACUCAAAAGAUCGUGUCUUAUAAAUUACAGAGAAAUUGUGCAAUUAGUUAUUAUUUUUAUCUAUAUUUAAUACUCCAUACAUGUGUUGAAAGAUUUAUUUAAUGUAAUGAGGAAUCAUGAGAACUAAACAAGGCCUUACACGAGGAUGAGUUGAUACAACACAUUUAUGUGGGUCUGUCGCCACCAGCAGAGAAUUGCGAACAGACUGUUCGCUUGAACUUACUAACUAAAUCAGUAAUAUUUUUUUAUAACAAAUCAACAAAAAGUAAUUUCUAUCAUAGCUUAUCAGCUAAACGAACAAAAAAUAAUGUAACGUGCCACAAAAAAUAAUGUGACGUUGACUUCCGCCUCAGUCCCUCACAAUACAUGAGAUUGGAUUGCAGCUAAACAAAAGUUCUGUAAUGUAUUCCAAGGUAUUUUAGAUUGUCAUCUAUUACUUAGAUAUCAAAAUUUGCAUGCAAACCUGGUAUGACACAGGCAAGUUCAAGGACCAAGUGACACAUCCACACAAUGACACUAUACAUAAAUAUAAUACUUAAGGCCUGUUUGGUACAGCUCACAACAGCUUCAUGAGCUGUUUUUUUUUGCCAAACACUUAUUUCCAAAACAACUUCAUUGAAGCUGUUUUUCUCCUCCUCUCACAAAGACAUAGUUGGAUGAAGCUGGAAAAAAGUAGCUUAUUGCAGCUUCUCCCUCAUUUCUCUCUCUCAACUAUGCAUGAAGUAGUUGGUGAAGCUAUUUUGCCAAACACUUUUUCCGAAACAGCUCAGCUUCAUCUAGAAAGUCACUCAUGAAGCUAUUUUCUAAAAAAACAGCUUCACUAGUGAAGUUGAGCUGUGCCAAACAAGCCCUUAAAAGAAGACGCCACAAACUAUUUUUUAACAAAACCCACGGAACAUGCCGCAAACUUGAUGUCUUAUCGAUUUAUAUAUACAGCGUAAAAAUAGUAAAUACGAUCCCUUCCUAGUCCACAACACGAAAUAGGUCCUUAAAUUUUAUUGAGAAACACGAGAAGCCUUUCCUGUGGAACCAUCGGAUAUACAGAAGAAGAAAGCAAAAUGGUUGGCAGGAAGGCAUGUCCAAAUGAGUUGGCAAGGCUAGCAGGAAAGUGAUGCAGGCAGACAUGACUCGAUCCAUAUCCUUCUCCCUGUAAUACAUAAAUACUGUGAGAAAAAUGGUCUAGAUGGAUGAUGUUCAUAUUAUACUUGCUUCACUUAGCAAGAGAAGGGUACCAUGCAAUAUGUGGCAUACCAAGCUCUUGAAUCUUCUCCCUGUAAUACAUAAAUACUGUGAGAAAAAUGGUCUAGAUGGAUGAUGUUCAUAUUAUACUUGCUUCACUUAGCAAGAGAAGGGUACCAUGAAAUCUGUGGCAUACCAAGCUCUUGAAUCGUGCCUGGGCAAAUCACAGGACCUCUACCAGACCGCGUGUCAUGAAGCUUGCUGCAGAGGGUGGUGCAACGAAACGUCUAGUAAUCAUCCGUGGGGCAGGCGCCCAGGGUCUGCCAGUGCAUACAAGGAUUAAUUUGUAAAGUAGUUUUUUUAUAACAAACUUCAUUAACUUUAACAGCAACAUACAGAGAGGAGCCUAAAAUGCUCCCAGGUUACAGACUGCAAUGCCUCUAGACAAGGCAAGAAAGAUAGCUGCUAUGAGCAGAACAUGUACACAAGAAUUGGGUAAAGGCAUGUGAUGGACUAAAGACUGCGGAGUAGCAUUUAGUGAGCGGUGAAUUUUGAGAGUCUUGAAGCCGUUUCCUGCCAUAUGUUCUAGGAAUACUUACUUUUUGUAAAGGCUUCUAGUUGUACUGUGCCUCUGCCAAGUGCUAUAUUUACAGGAUACAAUUGACAGAAACAGACACUAAAGAUAAUGAGUGGUAUACUUAGCUUCCAUACUAAUAAUUUCCAAGAUUUAAAAAUUGACAACUCUUAUUAUUCAUAAGCCUGAUAAAUAUAUUUCACUUGAACUUGAAAGCUACAAUGUUUAGACACCUUUGGAAAACAUUAUUUAGUUUCAUGAACCCAGUGCUUUGUCAUAUUAAAUUGACUUGAUUCACGUGAAAUUGCAUGCGAAAUUUCUGUGUGCCAAAGGGGGCCUUUGCAGUACUUUUCUAGUUGGAGAAAGAUGGUGGUCUCCCAGUAAGUGAAAUGCCAAGACAGGGUCUGCUUGGAAUGCGGGAAUUCCCGAUAUAGGUUUAAUUUCACUAGGAAGAUGCAGUUUUUUUUUUUUUUGGGGGGGGGGGGAUGCUCCAAAAAAAAACGAGGACAACAGUGAAGAACAGGUGCAUAUAUGCGUCAAUAAAUAAACAUACAACCAACCAGCACAAAUCAAUUAAGUAUAAUAUGAUACAUAAAAGCCAGCACAGCAGCAAAGCAAUACAUAUUAUUAUUACCUUGAGAGGAACUUGGAGAACUCGGAGGGGAGGAAGGGCAAGGGACAUGCGGACUUUACUUGGGUCAACUCAAUCUUAUCAGUGUCAAGGUCCGCAAACCCAUUGAGAUACUGAGAACAUGACUCCACGAUCUUGGUGCUCAUGUUGAUGGUGACCACCCACAUCUUCAUCAUCACGUACUCAUAGUCACAGCAAAGGAAGUGCACCACAUGUGGCCUGUAGAUGUCCACCUGAGGGAACAUGAGAAUGUGGCGUGGGAGGUCCUUUGGGGUGUUUGCAGACCAGAGCUCCUUGAGGUGAUCGUGUAGUCCUUCUCCCACUCCAUGGAUUCUAAGGAGAGGGUGUGGCAGGUGAUGGUGAAGCCACCAACACUGGUUUUGAGUGCCCC